UGCAUCAUGUUUACCUUCAUCAGAAAAUUGAAAUGGGGAAAGCAGAACCCCCAGCACCCCCCCCCUAAAAUCAACUAGGGUUUACUAAAAAUAAAUUCAAUGAACCUGAAAUGCCCUUCAAAAAUGUUCACCCUCUUUGCCUUGGGUUAGAACCCUUGGGAAAAAUGGUGCAUAUAAUUUUAGGUCAACAAAAGGGGCAUUGAUUUAAUUCAUAAAUAUUUGAAUUUGGGCAUUUAAAUACUAUUAAAUAAUUCAAAUGCUCAAAUAAUGUUGGAACUAUUUUUUGGGCCACUGAAAUAUUUCAGUAAGUGUCCAUAAAUAUUUUCAGGAUUUUAUAAAAUGAUUUAGUAUUUAAACUAAAUCAAAACAGAAUAACAGAAAUAGAAAAACACAAAAAAAUAAAGAGGGAAAGGCCAUGGGCCACUUACCUGGCCCAUCUCCAGCUGGCGGCCCAGCCCACCCCGCUGCCUCCUGUCGUNNNNNNNNNNNNNNNNNNNNNNNNNNNNNNNNNNNNNNNNNNNNNNNNNNNNNNNNNNNNNNNNNNNNNNNNNNNNNNNNNNNNNNNNNNNNNNNNNNNNNNNNNNNNNNNNNNNNNNNNNNNNNNNNNNNNNNNNNNNNNNNNNNNNNNNNNNNNNNNNNNNNNNNNNNNNNNNNNNNNNNNNNNNNNNNNNNNNNNNNNNNNNNNNNNNNNNNNNNNNNNNNNNNNNNNNNNNNNNNNNNNNNNNNNNNNNNNNNNNNNNNNNNNNNNNNNNNNNNNNNNNUCCUCCUCCCCCGUGCUCAUCCCCUCCUCUGCUCUCUCUGCCGCGCAACCGCCAUGAGCCCGAGAGCGCCAACAAGCUCCACCACGGCCACCGCCUCCCCCUCGCUUCCCUGACCAGCUUAGAGGCUCCGCCUCGACCCCGUCUUCCUCCUCACCAAGCCACGCCCCGCGGGAGCCCCUACAACAUCGCCACCAUCUCGUCUUUGACAUCGGCCACCGUGGAUCGCCGCCGUCGAAUUCGCGGCAACCGAAGCUUCCCCGAGCCCAUUGAGCUGCUCUGCGAGAUCACCGUGAGCUCCUGCACGUUUUUCCCCUAACCCCGUGGCUUGCCGCUCGCCGUAGCCGUCGUUUCGUAGCCGGCCGUAGCACGCCGCCGCCUCAGCUCGUCGUCGGCGCAGCUCCGGUGACCAUUAGGUCACCCCGGCGUGCCUAACCUACUCCCCGCAUCGCGUAGCGCUCCGCUAGCCCAUCGCCUCGCUCGCUAGGACACCACAGCGCUAACCCGCACCAGCCCCUAACUCCGGCCACCGCCGCGAGCUUGCCUCCGGCGAGCUCGGGCCAUCUCAGCCCCUGCCGUGUGCACAGAUGGAUGCGGGCGAGUCCCAGCUCCGCGUAGAUGCCCUCCGCUAGCCAUUUGGUCGCCGGAGGAGGAAUUCCGAGCCCCUCCGCCGUCUCUGGCCUUGCCGGCGACGAGCCGGGGUCAACUCCGGCGUGUUUUGACCCCGAUUGGCUGGGUUAACUCCCCCCCUGACUCACUGACGUGUGGGCCCAGGCGCCUGCUUAAUUAGUGUUAGUUAGUUAGUGUUAAUAAACUUAGCUAAUUAGAUGAGCCACUGACAUGCGGGCCCCGCCCGGCUAACUAAGUUAGUUAGGGCUAAUUAACUUGGUUAGUUGAUUGUGUCACUGACCAGUGGACCCCACUGGUCAGGUUUGACCUGGAGGCGCCCAUUUGACCUGCUGACAUCAGGGUGAUGUCAUGCUGACGCAAUAACUCUUUUUCUGGAUUUAAUUUUAUAUAGAAAAUUCCAGAAAAUUGCCUAAACUUCAAAAAUUCAUAGAAAUUCAACCAUAACUCCAAAUAAGACAAAUUAUAUAUGAAAAAUUAUCAGAAAAAUCCAAGCUAUCCAUUGGUACUGGUUUCAUGCAUGUCAGAACAAGUUAAACCUGCUGUUUAUGCAAUAUAAGGUGAUGCACUAAUAUGAUCAAGUUAAAUGAGCUAACACUUGAACCUUUGGUUCAAAUAAGCAAUUACCCUUCUGUUUUAGCUUGCAUUAGGCCAAGGCACACCCAUAUUGCCAUGUCAUAGCAUGCAUCAUAUUGUUGCAUAUCGUCAUGUGUUGAUUGUGCUCGGUUGUGUUCUUCGUGGUAGGUUCUGCCUCCGAGGAUAUUCACGAGUAUCCAAUUGAAGGGCAGUAUCCCGUUACCACUCCAUCAGGCAAGCAACCAUUGAUCAUUCCGAUACAACCCAUGUUCUCGCUCCUGCUCUUGUUUACUGCAUUAAGACAACACGAUUCAAACUGCUGUGUGCUACGGUAGUUGAACCCUUAUCCUCUGCAUGACCUGUCAUUGCCACAGUAACUAGAUGAAACCCACUAGCAUGUGUAGGAGUUGAUUGAGCCAUGUUUUGUGAUUCCUACCUUGCUAUGCCUGCUAUGCUUAGAGUUGUGUCAGGUCUGGUUCAUCUGGGUGAUGGGCUAGAGUGAAAUGCUUGUGCCAGUAAUAUGUGGGAUGUGUUGAACAUGUUUUGGUAAAGGUAUCAAUGAGAGGCCAUGUAGGAGUACAUGGUGGGUUGUUUCAUUGAAGCCGUCCCUAAGAGCUGAGUUCUGUAUGCGUGAAUUAAGAUUCAGCUACUACCACACAUUGGGCCCUGAAAUAUGAUCCCGCUCGACUUACUGACCCCUCUCGCCUCAGUCCAGGAGUUGCAACUAGUUUCUGGUGUUUGUAGGAUAUGUGUUGGCGGCCGUGCGUAGCGCUGACCCUAGGGGUGGGCUAUGUUGCGGUAGAUACACCGUGGCAUGGUGUACCGAGUCACCCGUUUGGUGUCUCGGGAACCCUAUUCACAUCGUUCGGGGCCGUUGAGGACACCCCGGCCGGAUUUCCUUGCGGAUGGAACCUGAAUAGGCGAUGACCCUGGACUAGAGACUUGUGAGGUUAGUCAGGUCGGGGUCUACACCCACGUCGGUUUUCGCUAGAAGUCUGCCGACCACAUUUCGUGUGCAGACGCUAAGUGGUGGAAACAUGUGUGACGAAGUACACCCCUGCAGGGUAUAAAACUAUUCGAAUAGCCGUGUCCGCGGUAAAGGACUACUUGAUUGCAUAUACAGUUCAUAGACAAGUUAAAGGAUACUACUAAAAGACUCAAGAUAAGUGUGAGUACCGAGGAUGGCCCUCUCGCAGGUUACGAGGGAGGAUCCACGGUGGAGUAUUGUGAUGGUGAGUAGUGGACUCGUGUGCGAAAACUAUUUUGCUAAAAGAUUCCGUAGGAUAGCUUAGCCAAGAGUCAAAGCUGGCUUGCUGCAUAAACCCCACCACCUUCUUGAGAAUGAGCAUGUAUAGUAGGUUCUGAUGUAAGACUUGCUGAGUACCUUUGUACUCAUGUUUGCUUAUUUAUUGUUUUCAGACGACAACAUUGCCCCCUCCGAUGGGUUUUACGUAGACCUUGACGUCGACGAGUGACUAGCCACCCAGGUGGUGAUCCAGGCCAUGGAGGGCCCUAUGUAGAUAGACAGGCUUCGAGAAGCCUUCUUUCUUUCUAGAGUCUGUACUCAGACUAGUUGCUUCCGCAUGUGCUUGUAUGACUGUAUGACUUGAGUGUCGGGUCAUGUGACCCCUACCUGUAUGGAUAUGUUAUGUAUGGCUCCCUGGAGCCUUUAAAUAAAGUACUUGAGUUGUAGAGUUUUGUUGUGAUGCCAUGUUGUAUGUACUCAUAUCGGGCAUAUUGUGGGUAUGAUUGAAAUGCUUGCUAUGAGUGGGAUCUGACAAUCUAGUCGUUUGUCCUUCGCAGCCUUUCUUAUGAGGAAAUGUAGUCUAGUGCUCCUCGAGCCAUAGUAGGCCGCUACAGCCCGGUUCACCGGAGUCCUGCUAGCCCAGCACUACUGUUCAGGACACUUGACUGGACGGCAUGUGUUUCACUUCCUCCCUAUGUCUGUCCCUUCGGGGAAAUGUCACGCGGUGAUCUCCGGAGUCCUGUCUAGCCUGCUACAGCCCGGGAUCCCCGGAGUCCUGUUAGCCCAGUGCUACAGCCCGGAAUCACUCGUUGAUGACCGACAUGUUCGAUGUGAUUCAUGUAUGCCUGUCUCCAUAGGUCUGUGCCGCUUUAGGUUCACGACUAGCCAUGUCGGCCCGGGUUCUCGGUCAUAUGGAUGCUAGCGACAUUGUCAUAUACGCGAGCCAAAAGGCGCAAACGGUCCCGGGCCAUGGUAAGGCGACACCCAUGGGAUACCGUGCGUGAGGCCGCAAAGUGAUAUGAGGUGUUACCGGCUAGAUCGAUGUGGCCUGGAAUCGGGGUCCUGACAAGAAGAGAUUUUGCAAGUUACGGUGUGAGCUAAAUAUCUUGGAAUCCUCAAAUGUCCUGUGAUCAGGCACACAUCCUAACACUUAUGCAUGAUGAUAACUUAGAUGUGCAACACACAAAGUAACGUAUAUCUUCAAUCAAUGAAGACAUACAUUCUAAGUGUGAAUACAUUAACGUGGAAUUUGACCUCGGAGCGCCACGAUAAUUGUGCGCCGUGUCUGGGUCCAAUACUUCCUAUACGGUGGGUAGCGCCACCACCAAAAUUUUUCUGCUUGAAGUGUUUCACUCAUGGCAUUACAUUUGCUAUGUCUUCACAUUUGGUUUGGCUUCAAUCUCAACAUGUCUUCAUGAUUAUCUUCACGAUGUUGAUUAUAUAUGUACUGGUGUUUCUGUCCUCUACAGCAUUCACUUAUAGCUAUGUCUUCUUGUUUGAAUCUUUUGAACUAAGUGAAUGUGAUCGGACCCUAACCUCUCCAUGCUUCCUACCUCAUACUCUAUCUCUCCAAGUCAUAUGCACUCUAUUGAAACUGUCGAAUGUCUUCACUGCAUCCUUGUCAGAAGAAGACACAGAGACAAACUUUAAAACAGCUUUCAAUGUUUUUCCAUCAACUAGAAUUCCGGAGAAGUAGGAACGACUCCCGACAAACCAGGCGUGCGUGGGGUGAAACUGCCCCCACAAUUCCGCAUGCUGGCCACGUACUGAUCAGAUGCGAAUCGCCAGGGGCACCUGAGUAAUAGCGCAAUGCUGCCCAUAUCCCUAUAAAUACACGUUUCACUGCGGUCAUUAUCUCUUCUUCCACCCUCGCACAAACCCUAGCGCCACCGCUAACUCUCAAUGACGCCGGCGACGAAGUGCUUCACUGCCGCGACCUCUCCGACGCCGUUCUCACGCCGACAGCGGACAUCAGUCUCUCCGCCGUCGCCCUAGGUGUCUUCCGUCGCCAAGUUAGGGCACGGAGGAUCGAACUGCUCGGCCUCAACUCUCAUCUCGUCUAGCAGUUCCAAGUCUGGUAAAUAACAAGCCUUUUUACAGCCUCUCUUGAUCCUAUAGCUCCAUCACUUUCUGCCAAAAGAGGUUUCCAUUCACACAAAGUUUCAUCCCUCUCAUCUGUAUCUCAUAACUUGCCUAGUAUAUUCACUUGUUCUUCAUGAAGUAGUUAGAUUCCUCACUUGUACUGAUCUAUGGGUUCGUACAAAUCUGGAACCAACUUCUUUUCUAUAAAGUGAAUGUCUCCGCAUGAUGAGGUCAAUAUCUUCUAAACUGAUUUAUCUUCAAAAUCUUCUGAGAAUGCAUAUGACCUCUUCCCCUUCCCUCGCACCUUAAUGCUGUCACAGGUACAUGUCCGUGGGAGAAUCUUUUGGUUCUCAUAGUCUGCAUUCAUUUGCAGAGUUCCUACAGCGUCACAUCAAUUCACCCGAAAGCAAGUUCCUGUUGGUCAAGCAAAAGGAAGCCUUUGAAGCCUCUGAAUAUCUUGAAGCCUUCCAAGUUAAGCUUCAUGGCAACCGAAAAACAAUCAAGGAAGGGAGGCAGACAGAGACGUGGUGACACAUCUAAAGAUCUGCCUGAAGAUUUGGCAGAAAUGUACCAAACAGAUCCUGAAGAAAGCUAUGGUCAGCGCAAGACACGAAUCCAAUGGAUUCGAAGAUAUUGGGCAGAGCAGUGGUUCCAUUACCACUUCGUCACCAAGGAAUAUGCAGAGAAGUACGCCCUCACGAGGCCAUGGGGAGAUGUCUUGUACAAAAAUCUCGUACCCCGAACCAGAGAUGAAGCCAUUGCGCAAGGCUUCUUUCCAUGCAUGGUCAGGGGACAACAGCCAGCUGACGCACAUCCAUCAUCCCUUCUCUAGUGUCGCAAUGACACUCUGUUCAAGCGCAACUUCCAAUUUGCCCAGAACUCUGCGAAGCAAAACAAGAAGGAGUUUGGGUUGGACUUCAACCCUGGUCCCUCCAAACCAAGGGCAGAUGGCACACGCGACGCAAAUCCCAAUGUCAUCGGACCGUUUGCCAAUCUUGAAGGCCUCAUCAUUCGCAUUAUAGUCCAAGGGACUGCUGUGAACGAUCCUCCAGCAGACACUGAGUCUGAUGAUGCUCCUGCUGCCCCGGAGCCAAAGCAGAUGAAGAAGAAGCCAAAAGCUUCCAAGCCAACCGCUUCUCCCAAGAUCUCCAGAGUGAAGCCAUUGGCCACUUCACCUCCUGAAGCAAGUGUGCAGUCUGAAGACUUGUCACGAGUCUCUAAGCCUCAAGAAGCCAAGAAGCCACAGCCACACACUAGCAAAGAACUCACUGCCGCUGCCGUUCUGCGCUGCGAAGCCAUUGAUCUGUCCAGUGACGACGAUCUUGCCGAUGACGCUCUUGAGCAGCUAAUCAAGAGCAAGGAGGAGGCUGAAAUCUUCAACAAUCUGCCUCUGUUCGAUGCAACAAUCAUCCACAACUUCAUAGAUGAGUGGUUUGACACACCCAACAUCAGCUUUGAUGAUCUGCAGCUGCCCAUUGGCCUCAGCGUAGCCUUCCAAGGAGCUAUUGCUUCAGAACUCGCAAUUGCCCAGCGCAUCGUGGAACUGAAGCAAAAGAUAGAUUUUGAAAAGGCUCGGUUCAAGCAGAACAUGGCCACGCUCAGUGUCCAAGAAGUCAAAGACUUCAAAGUCAUGCUGCAUGAGUUGAAGGAAAACUUUAUGCAGAAACGUGCAGAGGCUCAGGGUUCACGCGAGCGCAUGAAGAAUUUGGCUGAUCUCUGUGUGCAGGCCUACAAUGAGGCCGAGAAGCGAAAGGCACUUGGGCGUCCCGGCAUCGACCCCAGGAUGGCCACUAAGAAAAAGAAGACGCCCACUGUGGCUGAAGAAGAGGCCCCACGCCAAGAAGCUGUUCCGACUGUCUUCCCCACCGCCAAGCCUAGCUCGAAGCCAAAGCACCGCUCAACCGCUUCAGAGCUUAAGAAGACAAGGAUCGCCGAAGCUAAAGCAAGGAAGAGGAAACACCCUGAAGCCUCUCCUUCAGACCCCACCAUCAAGAAGCGCAAGACCAAGAAGUCUCGGGCUGCUCCCACAGAGCCCUUGAUAGUCGAACCCCUUUCCGUUCGCUUUCCUCAUGAAGAUCGUCAGAUGACUGUGCAUGAGCCUGCUCUCACAGAGGCUCCGCAUGCUGAAGACAUUCCAGCAGCCGACCCCAACGCUGCUGAAGACAUUGGUCUCCAAGACAAUGUGCAAGGUGAUGCAGUCCUUCCUCAGCUCGAAACAAGCGAAAUGCUCAGCAUUGGUCGUCCCUUGACGCCAAUCACCCAAGAUGCAUCGUGGGCAGAUCGCCCGCAGGAGGAAGAGGAUGAGCCCCAGCCCACUGCAACUCCACCGGCGUCGCCUGCAUUCCGUAGGCUUCGCAAAGGGCCAAGGGCUCAGACUGCUGACGACAUUCCGGCUGCAUCAGCCGAAGAACAUGCAGAAGAGCAUAAAGAACCUCAAGCUCCAUCUCCCCCACACCAGCAAGAAGAAGUUCUCAAGGAGGCUGACACCACUGCGGCUGCCACACAUAAUACUGAAGCAUUUGUGGAGCCCGACCAACCAGCCGCUUCAAGAGAUACUGAAGCUACUUCCUCUAACCCUUCUGUGCCUGUGUCUGCUGCCGGACCACAGUUCAACUAUCAUGUUGCGCAUAGGCCCCAGGUACAGAAGCCAAUCCCACGACUGCCAAGGUUCCCAGGUCCAGCCACUGCUCCUGGCUCCUUCAAUGUCAAUAGCUUCAGGGCAGAUAACACCUUCUUCAACCACUCCAAGAACCCCUACUCAAGGGAAAAGAUUAUGUCAGAUAGGUUCUGGAGCUACCCACAGCGCAGCUACUACUCCUGCGUCCUCUACAACCAGAGCCGUAUCUUUCCACAUCAGCGCCUUGAAAUUGAAGCUUUUGCUGGUCUGCCUGGUCUGGAAGAAGCCCUGGACUGCUUCAAGCAAGUUGGCCUGCUGCCGUUUGUCACGGAUGAAGAGCACUGGAACGAAGAGCUUCUGCUUCAGUUCUAUGCCACAUUGCACAUCAAGGGCUACAACAGAGAUCCGAAGACUUGGGUCCUGGAGUGGAUGACCGGCAACGUCCAUCAUGAAGCCAAUGCAUUUGAUAUCAUUGAGCUCACCGGCCUACCCACUGCAGGCGAACUCUUCGAAGAAGGCUGCCAACUCCAUGCUGAAGCAGUUGAGAGCAUAUUGCAGCGACCUGAGCCAAAUAUGAGUCAGAUGCUCUCAAUGAUGAAGCCAUUGCCUUCUGACGCACCUUACCCGAUGGAGUUCUUUGUUGAAGACUUACAGUACCUGCCUAGAACUAUCUAUCACAUCAUCAGGAGGACUCUAUGGCCCAUUAAGGAGCACUCUCGAUAUGCCAAGGUUGAAGGUGCCAUGAAGACUCUCAUCUUCUGCAUCCUGCACGGCCAAUGCUUCAAUGCCCAGGAUCUCUUCAUACGUCAACUUGCUGCGUCUGGCUCAGAUCUCUUUGGUCUGAAGAUUUAUGCUGCAUGGGUUAUGAGGCUAAUCAAGCUCCACUCUGCAAUAUCAUAUCAACCCUCAGCCCGCAACCACAGAAUCUUCUUACCUGAUGUGGACACCUCUGCUGAAGCGAUUUAUCCUGAGCCUGCCAAACAGCCACUAAGUCUUCAGAAUGCAGAACACCAAAGCUUCACUCAACAUGAUGAAGGUGUUGAAGCCAUUUCCAGAGUCUAUCCAAGGCUGGCACCACACGUGCCCCUGCAUCCACUGAAGCCACUGACAGCGAAGCUACACAGAGACCCAAGAAACGCGCUCGUACACUCACUGAUCGUGAACUUCUUGUGGCUCUGCACCAAAAGCAAGAUAGGCAUCACGACUGGCUCAAGAGGCAGAUGCGCAGUAUCAUGCAAGACGUCAAUCGCAUCAGGAAUCUGGCCACCAAGAACGCCUUCGUCGCACAUGAAACCUGUCGCCGCACCUGGAAAGGCCUCACAAUGAUGUGCACUGAAGCCGAACUGCAAGAGGAUGGCUUCAAAGAGAGAUUCAAGUUUGACUCCACACCCCCCAGAAGAGCUGUGUUGUGUGGGACUCCGUCUCUUGAAGAAUCCGAGUUCUCUUCCUCUGCUGCCACACUGACGGGAAAAAUCAUUGAGGAAGAAGACGACGCUACAUCACCACCACCUUCUUCGGCGCGCGUCGUCACUGCACCAAGCUCGCCAGCACCACCAAACGCCUCCACCGACCCUGCUGCGCCUGGGAACGCUUAGAAAACUCUAUGUCUUCACACCUUUUUGGUCAUCACUGACAAAAGGGGGAGAAGCAUAUGAUGUUUAUAGUCUUCAAGCGGGUCAAUAAUAUGGGCGGGUGCUUUAUAUUUUGCAUUUUGCUUCAUGCUUACAACUCUCGUUUUGCUACAUUUGGUUCUUUGAGUUGUAACAGUUAAACUUGAUGGUCGUCUGCUACUAUGUUUGCCACUGUGUUUUUGCGAAGAUAAAUUCCGCAUGUACGACGAUAAUUUCCGCACUCUUAUCAUUUCGCAGACGUCCAUUUUUCAUUAUGCAUAUCAUUAUCUUCAUAUAUCUUUACGUGCAUGAUGGAUUGUCAUCAUAAGUUGAAGUGGAUUCCCACAAAUACAACCUGCUAUGUGCAUUUGCAUUCCAGAAGCAAAUCACUUAUAUGCAAAUCUUCAGGGGGAGCCCUUGCAGCUUAUGAAGACAAUUCCUUUACAAUUUCACAAAUUAUAUUCCCCGUUGAAAACUUCAAGUAGUUUGUCAUCAAUCACCAAAAAGGGGGAGAUUGUAAGUGCAUCUAGUGCCACCCCUAGUUGGUUUUGGAGUAUUGACGACAAACCUAGUUGAGGGACUAAUGUGUUUGUGAGAAUUGCAGGAUAACACAGGUAGAAGUCCCUCAUUGAUUCGGUUUAGCUACCAGAGAUGACCCCCAAAAAUGUACGAAGGCAUUGAAGACAAUGGAGGUUCAUGAAGACAUUCAUGUCGAUGACAAUGACAUAUGAAGACUCCCCAUGAAGCCUUUGGAACUCGAAGACUUAGAUCCUUCGUAGUUUUACUUUAUUCAUGUUGUGUCAUAGGAACCACCGUACUGUUAAGUGGGGUCCAAGAGAACCAGUCAGGAUGACUGAAGUGAUGCCUAAUUCAAAUCCUAUGUCUUCGAGUGAAGACAAUGAGAGAAAAUCUUGUCCAGAGUCAGACAAGUCAGCUUUACUUGCAGCCCAAGUAAAGUUGCCGUGAGAGUUCAAAAUCCGACCGUUAGUACAUGUGUCAGUUCCUUAGUGACCCAGGGUCAUUUCGGACAAAUCAGGUCAGGGUUGCCAAGCGGCUAUAAAUAGUCCACCCCUACAACCAUAAACGAUUGGCUGCUCAGAUUUCAGUGCACGGCUUUUGUCGUUUGAGAGCAACCCACCUCGAAGCCUUUGAGAGAAAAUCCUUAGUGAGGAGAAAAGCCCUAACCACCCAGAGCCAGAGUAAUUGGGCAUCACUUAAGUCUUCUUGUCUGAGUGAUCUGAAGACUUAUUACACUUGAGGAUUGUGCAUCCUCCAGACGGUUAGGCGUCGCGUUCUGAGCAUCCAAGAGGAAUUGUGGAUUGCCGGUGAACGAAGUCUGUGAAGGUUUGGGAGUCUACCUUGAAGACAUACCAGAGUGAUUGGGCGGGGUCUGUGUGACCUUAGCUCAAGGAGAAAAUGGUGAGGACUGGGUGUCCUGAGCUGCGUGUUCAGGACUGGGUGUCCGGGACUGUGUGUCCUUUGGUUUAAAUACCUAGCCGCUCCAACCAGACGUACAGUUGUCACAGCAACUAGAACUGGUCCAACAUAUCAUUGUCUUCAACGUGUCACUGGUUUCAUCUUCACCUCCCUGACUGUAUGAUCUGUUUGGCUUCAUAGCUUCUUCUAUACCAGUACACAUUGUGAAGCUAUUGCAUGCUUGCUUUAUCUUCUGUCUUCACAACCUGACUGUAUGAUCUGUUUGGCUUCAUAGCUUCUUCCAACCUGAUCCUCAUUACACUGAAGCUAUUUGUCUCUGUGCUUUCACUGUAUUGUAUAUUUGACUAUGGCUUGCGUUGUGUAAUCUACCUUCCGCUGCAUAGUGAUAGGCUUGUUCACUCUGUUUGUCUUCAUAACUUCCACGUUUUGAAGACUUUCAUAAAAAUCGCCUAUUCACCCCCCCUCUAGUCGAUAUAACGCACUUUCAGGUUCAGUAGUAUCUUGUCCUGAAGUUUCAUGAUCAUCAUCAUUAGCUUCCUCACUAAUUGGUAUAGGUGUCGCAAAAACAGUUUUCUGUGAUGUACUAUUUUCCAAUAAGGGAGCAGGUACAGUUACCUCGUCAAGUUCUACUUUCCUCCCACUCACUUCUUUCGAGAGAAACUCCUUCUCUAGAAAUGAUCCAUUCUUAGCAACGAAUGUCUUGCCUUCGGAUCUGUGAUAGAAGGUAUACCCAACAGUCUCCUUUGGGUAUCCUAUGAAGACACAUUUCUCCGCUUUGGGUUCGAGCUUAUCAGGUUGAAGCUUUUUCACAUAAGCAUCGCAGCCCCAAACUUUAAGAAACGACAACUUUGGUUUCUUGCCAAACCAUAGUUCAUAAGGCGUCGUCUCGACGGAUAUAGCCGGUGCCCCUUUUUUUAACGUGAAUGCAGCUGUCUCUAAUGCAUGACCCCAAAAACGAUAGUGGUAAAUCGGUAAGAAACAUCAUAGAUUGCACUAUAUCCAAUAAAGUAGGGUUAUGACGUUCGGACACACCAUUAUGCUGUGGUGUUCCAGGUGGCGUGAGUAGUGAAACUAUUUCACAUUGUUUUAACUGAAGACCAAACUCGUAACUCAAAUACUCUUUUCCACGAUCAGAUCAUAGAAACUUUAUUUUCUUGUUACGAUGAUUUUCCACUUCACUCUGAAAUUAUAUGAACUUUUCAAAUGUAUCAGACUUCUAUUUCAUUAAGUAGAUAUCCCCAUAUCUGCUCAAAUCAUCUUGUGAAGGUCAGAAAAUAAUGAUACCUACUGUAAGCCUUUAAUAUUCAUCGGACCACAUGCAUCAGUAUGUAUGAUUUCCAACAAAUCUGUUGCUUGCUUCAUUGUUCCGGAGAACGGUGUUUUAGUCAUCUUUCCCAAAAGGCAUGGUUCGCAAGCAUCAAGUAAUUCAUAAUCAAGUGAUUCCGAAAGCCCAUCAGCAUGGAGUUUCUUCAUGCGCUUUAUACCAAUAUGACCUAAACAGCAGUGCCUCAAAUAAGUUGCACUAUCAUUAUUAACUUUGCAUCUUUUGGUUUCAAUAUUAUGAAUAUGUGUAUCACUACGAUCGAGAUCCAAAAAACUUGUUUCAUUGGGUGUAUGACCAUCGAAGGUUUUAUUCAUGUAAACAGAACAACAAUUAUUCUCUGACUUUAAUGAAUAACCGUAUUGCAAUAAACAUGAUCAAAUCAUAUUCAUGCUCAACGCAAAAACCAAAUAACACUUAUUUAAGUUCAACACUAAUCCCGAAAGUAUAGGGGAGUGUGCGAUGACGAUCAUAUCAAUCUUGGAACUACUUCCAACACACAUCGUCACUUCACCCUUAACUAGUCUCUGUUUAUUCUGCAACUCCUAUUUCGAGUUACUACUCUUAGCAACUGAACCAAUAUCAAAUACUGAGGGGUUGCUAUAAACACUAGUAAAGCACACAUCAAUAACAUGUAUAUCAAAUAUACUUUUGUUCACUUUGCCAUCCUUCUUAUCCGCCAAAUACUUGGGGCAGUUCCGCUUCCAGUGACCAGUCCCUUUGCAGUACAAGCACUUAGUCUCAGGCUUAGGACCAGACUUGGGCUUCUUCACUUGAGCAGCAACUUGCUUGCCGUUCUUCUUGAAGUUCCCCUUCUUCCCUUUUGCCCUUUUCUUCAAACUAGUGGUCUUGUCAACCAUCAACACUUGAUGUUUUUCUUGAUUUCUACCUUCGUCGAUUUCAGCAUCACGAAGAGCUUGGGAAUCGUUUCCGUUAUCCCUUGCAUAUCAUAGUUCAUCACGAAGUUCUACUAACUUGGUGAUGGUGACUAGAGAAUUCUGUCAAUCACUAUCUUAUCUGGAAGAUUAACUCCCACUUGAUUCAAGCGAUUGUAGUACCCAGACAAUCUGAGCACAUGCUCACUAGUUGAGCGAUUCUCCUCCAUCUUUUAGCUAUAGAACUUGUUGGAGACUUCAUAUCUCUCAACUCGGGUAUUUGCUUGAAAUAUUAACUUCAACUCCUGGAACAUCUCAUAUGGUCCAUGACAUUCAAAACGUCUUUGAAGUCCCGAUUCUAAGCCAUUAAGCAUGGUGCACUAAACUAUCAAGUAGUCAUCAUAUUGAGCUAGCCAAACGUUCAUAACGUCUGCAUCUGCUCCUGCAAUAGGUCUGUCACCUAGCGGUGCAUCAAGGACAUAAUUCUUCUGUGCAGCAAUGAGGAUAAACCUCAGAUCACGGAUCCAAUCCACAUCAUUGCUACUAACAUCUUUCAACACAAUUUUCUCUAGGAACAUAUCAAAAUAAACACAGGGAAGCAACAACGCGAGCUAUUGAUCUACAACAUAAUUUGCAAAAUACUACCAGGACUAAGUUCAUGAUAAAUUUAAGUUCAAUUAAUCAUAUUACUUAAGAACUCCCACUUAGAUAGAUAUCCCUCUAAUCCUCUAAGUGAUCACGUGAUCCAAAUCAACUAAACCAUAACCGAUCAUCACGUGAGAUGGAGUAGUUUUCAAUGGUGAACAUCGUUUAUGUUGAUCAUAUCUACUAUAUGAUUCACGCUCGACCUUUUGGUCUCCGUGUUCCGAGGCCAUAUCUGAAUAUGCUAGGCUCGUCAAGUUUAACCUGAGUAUUCUGCGUGUGCAAAACUGGCUUGCACCCGUUGUAGAUGGACGUAGAGCUUAUCACACCCGAUCAUCACGUGGUGUCUGGGCACGACGAACUUUGGCAACGGUGCAUACUCAGGGAGAACACUUCUUGAUAAUUUAGUGAGAGAUCAUCUUAUAAUGCUACCGUCAAUCAAAGCAAGAUAAGAUGCAUAAAAGGAUAAACAUCACAUGCAAUCAAUAUAAGUGAUAUGAUAUGCCCAUCAUCAUCUUGUGCUUGUGAUCUCCAUCUCCGAAGCACUGUCAUGAUCACCAUCGUCACCGGCGCGACACCUUGAUCUCUAUCGUAGCAUCGUUGUCGUCUCGCCAAUCUUAUGCUUCCACGACUAUCACUACCGCUUAGUAAUAAAGUAAAGCAUUACAUCGCGAUUGCAUUGCAUACAAUAAAGCGACAACCAUAUGGCUCCUGCCAGUUGCCGAUAACUUGGUUACAAAACAUGAUCAUCUCAUACAAUAAAAUCAGCAUCAUGCCUUGACCAUAUCACAUCACAGCAUGCCCUGCAAAAACAAGUUAGACGUCCUCUACUUUGUUGUUGCAAGUUUUACGUGGCUGCUACGGGCUUAAGCAAGAACUCAUCUCACCUACGCAUCAAAACCACAACGAUAGUUUGUCAAAUAGACUCCAUUUUAACCUUCUCAAGGACCGGGCGUAGCCACACUCGGUUCAACUAAAGUUGGAGAGACAGUCGCCCGCAAGCCAUCUAUGUGCAAAGCACGUCGAGGGAACCGGUCUCGCGUAAGCGUACGCGUAAGGUUGGUCCGGGUCGUCUCGUCCAACAAUACCGCCGAACCAAAGUAUGACAUGCUGGUAGGCAGUAUGACUUGUAUCGCCCACAACUCACUUGUGUUCUACUCGUGCAAAUAACAUCAAACCAUAAAACCUAGGCUCUGAUACCACUGUUGGGUAACGUAGUAAUUUCAAAAAAUUUCCUACGCACACGCAAGAUCAUGGUGAUGCAUAGCAACGAGGGGGAGAGUCUGAUCUACGUACCCUUGUAGAUCGCAACGGAAGCGUUGACACAACGUAGAGGAAGUAGCCGUAUGUCUUCUUCCCGAUCCGACCGAUCCAAGCACCGUUACUCCGGCACCUCCGAGUUCUUAGCACACGUAUAGCUCGAUGACAAUCCCCGGGCUCCGAUCCAGCAAAGCUUCAGGGAGGAGUUCUGUCAGCACGACGGCGUGGUGACGAUCUUGAUGUAUUACCGAUGCAGGGCUUCGCCUAAGCACUACAACGAUAUGAUCGAGGUGGAAUAUGGUGGCAGGGGGCACCGCACACGGCUAAGGAACGAUCUCAAUGAUCAACUUGUGUGUCUAGAGGUGCCCCUUGCCUCCGUAUAUAAAGGAUGCAAGGGGAGGGGCUGGCCGGCCAAGGUGGGAGGCGCAGGAGGAGUCCUACUCCUACCGGGAGUAGGACUCCCCCCUCCAAUCCUAUUCCAACUAGGACUCCAAGGGGGAAAGAGAGAGAGAGGUGGCCGGCCACCUCUCCUAGUCCUAAUAGGACUAGGGGAGGGGGGAGGCGCGCAGCCCUCCAUGGCAGCCCCUUUCACCUUUCCACUAAGGCCCAUGUAGGCCCAUUUGGCUCCCGGGGGGUUCCGGUAACCCUCCCGGUAAUCCGGUAAAAUCCCGAUUUCACCCGGAACACUUCCGAUGUCCAAACAUAGGCUUCCAAUAUAUCAAUCUUUAUGUCUCAACCAUUUCGAGAAUCCUUGUCAUGUCCGUGAUCACAUCCGGGACUCCAAACAACCUUCGGUACAUCAAAAAGCAUAAACUCAUAAUAACUGUCAUCGUAACGUUAAGCGUGCGAACCCUACGGUUCGAGAACAAUGUAGACAUGACCGAGACACGUCUCCGGUCAAUAACCAAUAGCGGGACCUGGAUGCCCAUAUUGGCUCCUACAUAUUCUACGAAGAUCUUUAUUGGUCAGACCGCAUAACAACAUACGUUGUUCCCUUUGUCAUCGGUAUGUUACUUGCCCGAGAUCCGAUCGUCGGUAUCCAAUACCUAGUUCAAUCUCGUUACUGGCAAGUCUCUUUACUCGUUCCGUAAUACAUCAUCUCACAACUAACAUCUUAGUUGUAAUGCUUGCAAGGCUUAUGUGAUGUGUAUUACCGAGAGGGCCCAGAGAUACCUCUCCGACAAUCGGAGUGACAAACCCUAAUCUCGAAAUACGCCAACCCAACAUCUACCAUUGGAGACACCUAUAGUACUCCUUUAUAAUCACCCAGUUACGUUGUGACGUUUGGUAGUACCCAAAGUGUUCCUCCGGUAAACGGGAGUUGCAUAAUCUCAUAGUUAUAGGAACAUGUAUAAGUCAGGAAGAAAGCAAUAGCAACAUACUAAACGAUCGGGUGCUAAGCUAAUGGAAUGGGUCAUGUCAAUCAGAUCUUUCAACUAAUGAUGUGACCUCGUUAAUCAAAUAACAACUCAUUGUUCAUGGUUAGGAAACAUAACCAUCUUUGAUUAACGAGCUAGUCAAAAAGAGGCAUACUAGUGACACUCUGUUUGUCUAUGUAUUCGCACAUGUAUUAUGUUUCCAGUUAAUACAAUUCUAGCAUGAAUAAUAAACAUUUAUCAUGAUAUAAGGAAAUAAAUAAUAACUUUAUUAUUGCCUCUAGGGCAUAUUUCCUUCAACUAUAUUAUCUACUGUUUUAGACAAUAUUGGGCUUUAUUAUCCACUUUUAUAUUAUUUUUGGGACUAACAUAUUAACCGGAGGCCCAACCCAGAAUUGAUGUUUUUUGCCUAUUUCAGUGUUUCGAAGAAAAGGAAUAUCAAACGGAGUCGAAACGGAAUGAAACCAACUGGAGAAGUUAUUUUUGGAAGGAAAGCUACCGGAAAAGCUUGGAGUGCACGCCAGGAAAGAAGGGAGGUGGCCACGAGGGUGGGGGCGCGCCCACCCCCUAGGGCGCGCCCCCCUGCCUCGUGGCCCCCCUGGAGGUCCACCGACGUACUUCUUUCACCCAUAUAUACCCACGUACCCUAAAACUUCCGAAGACGAGAAUAGAUCAGGAGUUCCGCCGCCGCAAGCCUCUCUAGCCACCAAAAACCAAUCGAGACCCUGUUCCGGCACCCUGCCGGAGGGGGAAACCCUCACCGGUGGCCAUCUUCAUCAUCCCGGCGCUCUCCAUGACGAGGAGGGAGUAGUUCACCCUCGGGGCUGAGGGUAUGUACCAGUAGCUAUGUGUUUGAUCUCUCUCUCUCUCUCUCUCUCUCUCUCUCUCGUGUUCUUGAUUUGGCACGAUCUUGAUGUAUCGCGAGCUUUGCUAUUAUCGUUGGAUCUUAUGUUUCUUCUCCCCCUCUACUCUCUUGUAAUGGAUUGAGUUUUCCCUUUGAAGUUAUCUUAUCGGAUUGAGUCUUUAAUGAUUUGAGAAAACUUGAUGUAUGUCUUGCCGUGCAUAUCUGUGGUGACAAUGGGAUAUCACGUGAUCCACUUGAUGUAUGUUUUGGUGAUCAACUUGCGGGUUCCGCCCAUGAACCUAUGCAUAGGGUUGGCACACGUUUUCGUCUUGAUUCUCCAGUAGAAACUUUGGGGCACUCUUUGAGGUUCUAUGUGUUGGUUGAAUAGAUGAAUCUGAGAUUGUGUGAUGCAUAUCGUAUAAUCAUACCCACGGAUACUUGAGGUGAAAUUGGAGUAUCUAGGUGACAUUAGGGUUUUGGUUGAUUUGUGUCUUAAGGUGUUAUUUUAGUACGAACUCUAGGGCUGUUUGUGACACUUAUAGGAAUAGCCCAAUGGAUUGAUCGGAAAGAAUAACUUUGAGGUGGUUUUGUACCCUACCAUAAUCUCUUCGUUUGUUCUCACUAUUAGUGACUUUGGAGUGACUCUUUGUUGCAUGUUGAGGGAUAGUUAUAUGAUCCAACUAUGUUAUUAUUGUUGAGAGAACUUGCACUAGUGAAAGUAUGAACCCUAGGUGAUGCGACCAUCGACAGAAAAAUGACGGCAUGAAUAAAUUCCCCAAUCUUUCACAGUACGGUGUCACCAGAAACGACGUGGUGCUCGCGAUCUUGUAGAUGCAAUCACCACAAAAACAACACGCACACCCGAUAAAAGAAGUACGUGGACGAUCUUCAAAUGAUCAGCAGCAAAUUAGAAGUUGAUGCCUCCAAUCUCCUUGCCGGAACACACAAAGUAUUCAACUCAUCAACUAGUAUUAUCUGGUCAAGGGAAGAUACCCCAACUUGACUCUGUCCAUCAGGAUCUAACAACCAAUCUAAAACCAACCUUCCCCGUACACGGCCGAAGCCGGCCUUUUAUAUAGGCGAGUAAAUAGACCAGGCACAACCGACUAACAAGAAGAAUACUACACGAACUCUCUUUCCUAUCUUCCUAAUCACAUAUUAACUAAUCUAAUAGUCCGGCAUCUUGAUCACAAAAGACAAAAACGGACUAGUACUUAUUGAAAAGGAAAUGAACUAGUACUAAUGAAAAGGAAAACGCAUGCAUCCUUCUGAAUCCUUGAUACGUCAAAAUAAUUUGACUUGCAUCUUUCCCUCUGUAUCAUGAUUACAUGGGGUUCGAAAAGUGAGCUUCACUUCCUUCCGUGGUACAAUUUGACAGGUCAUUGUGCCAAUCUGUAAUACCUGUGUCUCAGGAGCUAUGCGCAGCAUGGCCCGAUUUCUUUUUCCAGUGCGUUUAGCUGGCACGAUAUAUUUCUCCGGCAAUGAAACAUCAGUCUCCGUACAUGGUGUCGCAUCAUCCUUCCUUCCUUGAAAAGAAACCGUCCUCGGUUUCGACUUAGGCCUUGUAGAUUUUUUUCUUGAACACUUCUAUAGUACACUAUAUUUUGUGCAUCCUUAGGAAGAAUAGCAUAGAACUCACCCUUGUGCACAAAAAUGUACCUGUUUGCUCGCCCAUGAUGAAGAGCGUUAACAUCAUGCUGCCACGGACGCCCCAAAAUAAGGUGACAAACAUGUAAUGGCAUAACGUCGCAUUCCACCUUAUCAACAUAGCCAUCAACAGAAAAAGGAACCUUCACCCUAUGAGUUACCUUCACUUUGCCAACAUCAUUUAUCCACUUCAUAUAGUAUGGUCUUGGGUGCUCCCAUGUUGGCAACAAAAGAGACUCCACCACAUCCUUGCUAAUCAUGUUGCUAGCACUGCCACCAUCAAUUAUAAGUUUGCAAACUUCUCCCUUGAUGGUACAUGCAGUUUGAAAAAUCUCUGCCGUUGUCCUUGUUCAACAAUAUGGUCUUGUCAUCUCGCUGGACCUUAUGUGCUAGCAAACUCUCCAUAUCAGGAUCAUCUUGAGGAUAACAUAAUAUAGUAUCACCAUGACCUCUUUCGAUUCCAUCCUCUAACUUAGGCGUCUCAUCUUCAGAUUCUGAAAUAUAUUCCGCAUUAACAAGUAGAACCCUUCAUUGAUUGGAACAUUCAUGCUUCAUGUGUCCACGUCCUCCACACUUGUGGCAAAUAAUAUUACGGUGAUGCGAUGAUGUCGCACUAGAUGAAACCCGAGAAACCUCCUUUGGCGCAGUUCUGGAGAUCAUGGCCUUUGGUGCAAUGGAUCUUGCAGUAUUGCUUGUCGAAGUUUCCUGGCUUCUCGGCGGCCGCUAAGGCCCGGCAGGCGACACAUCCGGCAAUUUCCUUGCCGGGGUCAUCUGCCUUGGUUUUCUUGGCGGAGCCGGUGUCAUCAGAUCCCUUGACGGCAACCACGGCUUUUCCUUUGCGCUUCCUGUUGCGGCGCCGGCCUUUCUUCGCCGGGGCGGCAGUAUCCUCAUCUGAGGAGUCGGUUUCCACGCCGGCAUCUUCGCCGGGGUACUUCCUUCCCUCUUCACCUUGGGCACAUCUAUCACCAAGAACAUAGAGUUCUGCCACAUCCUUCACCUUGUUCAUUGCCAGCUCUUCGCGCAUCUUGCGGUUACGCAUGUUCUGAUGGAACGCGCUGAUGAUGGCGGCAGGGUGAACAUCAGGGAUAUUGUACUGUAUCCGGUUGAACCUCUGUAUAUACUUGCGCUGACUCUCACCUCCCUUCUGGGGAAUGACGUGCAGGUCACUUGCUUGGCCAUGGGCUUGUGACCUCUAGUAAAGGCGCCCACAAACUCAUGGCACAAAUCCGACCAGGAGGAAAUAGAGUCUACCGGCAAGUGCAUCAACCAUGACAUGACGUUGGGUUUAAGAGCCAAUGGAAAGUAAUUCACAAGCACCUUAUCGUCGCGGGCUCCGGCAGCUUGCAUCAUGAUGGUGUAGAUGCUGAGAACUCAGACAGGUGGGUCUCGCCGCUGUACUUUUCACCAAUGUCAGGUUUAAAGGUUAGGUGAGUGGGCCACUGGAACUGCCGCAGCUCGUGGAUAAAAGCCGGAUAGCCUACCUCGUAAGGUAGGCCUCCAGGGCUGUCCGGGGUUGGGUGGUUCGCAGCAGGCCCUACUCGCCUGUCUGACUGGUGGCGUGCUCCGCGCCGGCGCUCGAUAGUGGUUCGAGCGUCUUCAUGGGCUCGCUCCCGAAGAACUUGGCGCUGGUCACAGUGGGUCCGCGGGUCAGACGACGCUAUGGAGAUGUCGUCGCCCGUAACAUCGCGAUGAGCUGGCGUCCGUGGUACCGGGCAAGGAGGAGGUGAAUGCACCGUGGUCGCUGCGCCGCCGGCUCUCCCGCCACUGGUGCGUGGGACUCCAUCGGAGCAUCGACCCGGGGGCUCCACUGGACUCGGUUCGUCUAUGUUGGCCACCGCAACAAGGCUUCAGAUAGUGGCUCUCCAUUCGUCGAGUUUCCCCGUAGUGGGAGGAAAGUCGUGGAGCAACUGCGCGCGCGCCAGGGCCUCUGCUGGCGUCGGUGGCAGCGAAACCUGCAUGGAUCGCGACGCGCUUCGACUUCUGACCAUGUCAGAAGAGCUCUAUCAUGACCCCGCGGUCGCAUGCCGUUUUCACCAGCGCCUCGGCAAGCGGGCAGGUCUUCUACGUCCCGGCAGUGGCGUUCGGGGCUCUUCUUGCGGCAACGCCUGGGAUCUUCGGUGUGAUUACGCCGUCCGUCACGCGCUUCCUGAGAGGAGCACGCUGUGGGCGCCGGCGUGGGAGUCUUGGAGGCCCUUGCGUCACCCUCGGGCGGGGCGGCGAUAACGUUGGAAGGCCCCGCCCCACCCGCGGAGGGCCUGGCUCCGCCUUUGGAUUUGGUGAGGUGUGGCCCGUUACCAGGCGCACAAACAUUGCCGCCUCCCAAACUCCGGCUGCUGGGAUGGUGUUGGUGUUCGCGAGCAGCGCCCCGGGUCCUUUCUGCGACCGGUCCGCUGCUCGCCCGCAUCGGGACGGGCGGUCCGGCUUCCGACUGGCCAACCGCCACCGUCGUCUUCUUCUUGGGCGCCAUGAUGAUGAAGAAGCGUCGAACUAGCCGCUAAAGCCGAUUCCCACAACUGCGCUCCCCCUACCUGGCGCGCCAAAGAUGUCGGUGUUAAUGACACCUAUGGGAUCACAAUAAUCCCUACUAUGGUUAGCGGGGCGCGGGGUCGUGAGAAGAGCGGAUCCAGCAGAUAGCACACGGUUCGUUUAUCCAGGUUCCGGCCGCGAGGACGCGUAAAACCCUACUCCUGCUUUGGUGGAUUGUAUAUCUGUGUUCUUGAGCUAGCUAUGGGGCAUGAGGAGCUCCAAAAAGCCAAAUCCUCCUCCUGGUCGCCUCGGGCCUCCUUUUAUGGAAAAAGGGGUUGCCACAGUGGCACACCGGAGGUGGAAACGGUACAGUGAUGCGAGGUUAUCCCUCGCAUUACAUGACAAGGUGCAUUGAAUGCGCCUUGCUUAGGUGUCCUUGAUUUAUCGGGGACGGGGGAGAGAUCUGUCUUGUCCGUCGCCGCUCCUUCUUGUGUCGACACGCGCCCUGGGCAGUGAUGCCUAAGAUGCCAUGUAGGUAGGCAGGCAGCUGAGGUGGCGCAGUAGUGGGUCUUCAUGAAGAUUUGCAUGCCGCCACGCAGGUGCCUGCCCAGCUGGUUGGGUCGGCAGUUGCGUGCGUACGGCGGUGGAGGUUUAGUCGGCUUGGUCCUGAUGGUGGCCCUGUGUGUGUCCUCGGCAAGGGCCUUUUCGGGGCCCCGGCAAGGGUCUUGCCGAGGCGCCUGCUCUCAUCCCUGGCAAGGUGCUUGCCGGGGGCCUUGCGGUCUUCCUUGGCUGGGGAUCCCGCCAAGGGUCGUCAUCUUCUAUAGUGUGUAUCUGUUCUUGAAUGUCUUCACAAGGAUCUGCAUGCCACCACGGGGGUGUCUCCCGAAUCCUUGCCCCAUGGGGGCAGUGGACUCAAGGGUGACUUGCUCCGUAGGUGUGGAGCGAGUUGCCGCGGCAAGGGUCUUGUUGGGGUUGCUAAAACUGCCCUCCGGCAAGGGUCUUGCCGAGGGAGUCCGCUUCAUCCCCUUUGUUCUUUGUGGUCUUGGCCUUGGCAUCGUUCUAGCUCUCUUGAGCUUUGGUCUUACCCUGGCUCACCUCCCUUGCCGUGCUUGGUGUGGUGGUGCCCGUGGCUCAGACUGCCCGUGCACAGUUAUAGGGGUACAAAAAGUGUACCCCUCUUUUUGUACACUGACAGGAGCCCCCAGGCCUGGGCCACACAUAAGCGCAAUGCGUUGUUGGGCUAGCCCCAAAAACGGUGCGCGGGCAGGCGGGGCGGUUUUUACCGUGGUAAGAUUCUUCGCGAGCUGCGCUUCCCACGACUGCCGCGCGUGGCGCGGCGUGGGGAGGUGGGCGUGACGUGGGCAGCAUGCGUGGGGUUGAGCUCGGCGCGCAUGCGUCACGUCGUAGUAAAGGGGCGGUUCGCGCUUUCCCCAUAAACGGAGGGAGGCAUGGAGGCGCGGCCCAUUGACUGAAUGGGGCCGAGGCGCGGUCUUUAAGGCAUCCACCCCCCACGAUUACGGGGUGGGGAGAGGUCGCUUCACCCAUCCCUUCGGUUCUGCACGCACGCCACGUGUCUCCCAUGCGCUUGGGGUGGCAAAAUGGUGGAGGCGGGAAACCGGGUCGCCGCGGGCUGGGGCAGCGGGUCGGUCCCGAUUCCCUACGCCUUCUGCGUCUUGAUUGGUCGAGCGGGGCGGCCGAGCCCCGACCCCGUUGCUUUAUAAAGAGCGGGAGGGGGAGAUGGCGUCCCGCAUUCUCUCAUCUUCUUCUUCCUUCACUUUCUGCUCCUCCCUUCCAUUCGUCAUGGAGAGAGGGAAUCCCGAUCCUUUAACGGUGGCGGCGAGGGUUGCCGCUCGACAACGCGUCUGUCCUUCUCCCGCGCCUGCGGUGGCAGAGCCAGCCACGACGGGAAGGGGGAGGGGGCGAGGCCGUGGGCGAGGCCGUGGCGCUCGGGGAAGAGGAGGACGGGGUGGCGCGCUGGCCUUGCCUCCGCCAGCAGCUCCUCCUCCAAUGGAGGGCCAUGUCGGGGAUGACCCUUGUGAGUUCUUCGUCAGGCUGUGCCGGCCGCCGCGCCAUCGCCUUCGUCUCCUGACUCCAUUUGCACGAGAGAUGGACCAGGAUCCGCUGGAGUCAUUGCGGCUGCACAUGAGGGUCUGUGGGAUCAGUGGCACGUGGGUCCGCGUCGACUUCCCCGCUCCUCACAUGAUGUAUCUUCGCCGGGGAUGGAAGACGUUUGCUCACAUCCACCGCUUGACGGAGAGCUCUUCUGAUAGUGAAGACUCCUCCUCGGGCGGGAGUGACGAGGAGGACAGCGGUAGCGACGACGAGGGUGAUAGGCGGCAGGAUGACGGGUCCGACUAGGUCUCGGGCGCCGCUCCGUGCGGCACCGGCGAACCCAUCAUCCGUGUCGCCGGCUCCUUGAACUUCUCGGGGUUGUCUCCUUGGGCGGCUGGCGUUGGGAGGCUGCGGAAGAGGAAGAGGGCGGGCGGCAAGGCCGUCAGGUCGGAGUAUGCGGGCACCGAUGCCUUCCACGCGUGCUGAUUUCCUGCUGCCUCGUCUUCGAGCUCUGCUUCCGGCGCCGCCAUCACCACCCAGCCUUCGGACGGCCACCGAGAUGUUCUCUUGGUGUCUUCUGCCACCCGUAGCUCGCCUAGGCGCUCGUUUUGCCUUUUUCGCCUCCUUGACCUGCCUCCUGAGGAGAGGGACAAGAAAGGGAUUACGGGCACCUUAUCUCUUUUUAGUUUGUAAGCCUUCGGGCCUUUGUUGAAUUUAAAACUUGUAAUCCCAUCUUUCAUGUUUUUCAUUCCUUAUGGACUGUACCUGAGUGGAAUGUUUUUAAUGAAAAAGGGAUGUUUGCCGGGUCAUUUAUUUGUGGGUGAAACCCAUGACAAGGAAUAAAUCCUUGAUAUUUUAAGAUAAACAUUUUCUCGCCCGGCAAUAGGCCUUGCCGUCUCCCCACUUCGCUCAACCUUUCUCACGCCUUUGGGCGGAGGCAGGGAUGAGGUGGGUUCAUGCCCCUUGUUUUAUCCUUUCGCUGGCGUGACUACGACCAAACCUGGCCCUAGGAACGAGCCCUAGGGCCUAGAGUUAGGGGAGCAUGGUAGCUUAGAGAAAAACGAGGUUUCACAUACCUCAGUCCAUAAUGGAAUGCAUGAUAAGGGAUAAAGAACUUAUCUGAAGCUGCAGCCCCCGGCAACCCUGGUUUGCCGUGGGUGAAUCCUUGCUCUUGCAGCCCCCGGCAAUACUGGCUUGCCGGGGCUUAGAUGCUGGUCUGUUCCUCCUCUUUUCUUUCUCCCAAGUGGUUCGGCAAGGAUAUCUGUGUGUCCUAUGAACCAAGGAAGACAAAAGAAAGACAAAGAGACGUACACCCGACCUCUAAGCUAGGGGUUAGUCGCCGCUAAGCACUAUCAACCCUAACCAAGGACGAGACUCGACCUAGUAUGCAUGCUAUAACUUAGUGUGCCAGCGCUUCAUUUAUUUAUGCUCAGGGUCUGCGCCUGGCUUUGUACAAAGGGUUACAUGUGUCAUCGGCAAGGCUUGUACAAAAGGUGGCUUGCCGGUGGGCCCGGCAAGCUGCGCCUCACGGGUAAAACUUGUGAAGAUGCUCAAUGUUCCAGGAGUUACUCACUGGAAUUCUUGGCCGAUUGAACACGCCGAAGAACAAGGUCGCCUUCCUCAAAGCUUCGGGCAUGAACCUUGCGGCUAUGGUAGCGGUGCAAGGCUUGCUGGUAGGGUGCUACUCUCACAGCCGCCCGAAGACAAUCUUCCUCAAGGAGCGUUGCAUCAUCUUGCCGCAGUUGCUCUUGCUCAAGCUCAUCAUAAGCGAGCACUCGAGGUGACCCAUAUAUGAGUUCAGUGGGGAGAACUUCUUCUGCCCCGUAUACUAGGGCAAAGGGUGUCUGGCCGGUGGCUCGAUUUGGUGUCGUUCUGAUCGACCAAAGAACCAUCAGCAACUCACCAAUCCAGCGCCUUCCACUCUUGUGCAGCCUGUCAAAGGUCUUUGUCCUUAAGCCUCGCAGUACUUCAGCAUUUGCCCUCUCACCUUGACCAUUGCUUCGUGGGUGAGCAACGGAAGCGAAAGAGACUUUGCUACCGAGGUCUUGGGUAUAUUGCAUGAAGGUGCGGCUUAUGAACUGUGUGCCGUUGUCGGUGAUGACCCUGUUGGGUACACCAAAAUGGCACACUAGUCCCUUGAAGAAUUUGACGGCUUACUGAGCUGUGACCUUCCUCACUGCCUCCACCUCUGGCCACUUUGUGAACUUGUCGAUUGCAACGUGUACUCAAAGCCCCCGGCAGCGCGGGGGAAGGGGCCUAGUGUGUCGAGCCCCCAGACCGAGAGGAAUGGUUUGAAGGGCUUGAGCUGGCUGAUGAAGCUUCUUUGAAUGGAACUGACACGCUUCACACCUGGUGACUUGUGUCGUCGCAUCUUGGAGGGCAGUGGGCCAGAAGAAGCCUUGCCGAAAUGCCUUGCGGGCAAGGGCUCUUGACCCUAUGUGGGAUCCACAUAUGCCUCCAUGUAUCUCUGCCAACAGCCUGAAAGUGCGUUAUAUCGACUAGAGGGGGGUGAAUAGGUGAUUUUUAUGAAAUUCUUCACUGACGAAUUUGCUAGUGAGGAAAUUCCCUAGCGAAGAACUACUAGCAGCGGAAUAAGUACUCAGAAGUAAACAUAGCAGAAUACAUGCAUGGUCAUCAUGAUGAAAUGAAGACAAACACAGAGUACAGAAAGCGUAAACACAGGAUAGCACAAGAUGAAGACAAACAGACUGAAGAAAUGGAACUGAGGAAAUUGAGAAAGUCUUCAAUCAAAGUCUUCAAACAUAGAUAUGCACAAAUACACAACACAGUAAUGAGGAAAUGAAAGUGUUGAGGAAAUAGAACCAGUUGGCUUGGUGAAGACAAUGAUUUGGUAGACCAGUUCCAACUGCUGUCUCAGUUGUACAUCUGGUUGGAGCGGCUGAGUAUUUAAACUCGCGGACACACAGUCCUGGACACACAGUCCUCACCGUAUUCUCCUUGAGCUAAGGACACACAGUCCUGACCCAAUCACUCGUGGUAAGUCUUCAGGUGACUUCCGAACCUUCACAAACUCGGUCACUCGGCGAUCCACAAUUCCUCUUGGAUGCUAUAGACCAUGACACCUAACCGUCUGAAAGAAGCAAAGUCUUCAAAGGUAACAAGCAUCGGAUCCACGCAGGAUCAAUCUCUUCAGUGAUGCUCAAUCACUUUGGGUUGCUAGGUGUUUGGGUUUGGGUUUGGAUUUUCCUCACUUAAUGAUUUUCGCUCAAAGUCCUCGGAGGAUGGGAUGCUCUGAAAUGACAAGUGUCAGUUUCUUGCGGAGCAGCCAACCAGCUAGUGGUUGUAGGGGGCGGCUAUUUAUAGCCUAGGGAGCAGCCCGACAUGAUAAGACAUAAAUGCCCUUCAAUGAUAUGACCGUUGGAUGGAUAAGAUAUUUUGGGACAGCUGGCGCAUAGCAGCAACGGUCGGAAAUUUGAGGUUCAAAUUCCUCAGGGCUAUCAUCACUAGUAGAAAAAGGGUCAAACGUGAAGCACAUUAGUGACGGUUUGAUUUUGGCCCGGUACUAAUGGUACCAUUAGUGCCGGUUCGAACGGAUUUGCAUUAAUGCCGGUUCAUGUUGAACCUUUAGUACCAGUUCGUGGCAUGAACCGGUACUAAAGGGGUGGUGGUAGGCUGGCGUCAGGCCGGGGCCCCACGAUCACCUUUAGUACUGGUUCGUGCCAUGAACCGGUACUAAAGGGGUCUGACCUAUAGUACCGGUUGGAGACACAAACCGGCACUAUAGGGCAAUUUUCAAACUUGAAAAAAAUCAUAACUAAAUCAUCCUAAUUCAGAAAAAUACAUAUAAUAUAUCAAAAUUUGCAGAAAAAAAAGAUUGAUCCGCUGAAACAACCAGUUUUUCGUUUCGACAAUUUUUUAAAAUCACAAAAUUCCAAAGGGAAAGUAGAGUUUUUGGGCGUUUUAGACGUUUUUUGGACGUUUUUAGCGUCUAGUGCUAGGGUUUAGAUUUCAGCGUUUAGGGUUAGGUUUUAUGGUCUAAACCCUUAGUUUUUACUGUUUAGCAUAGAGUUUCCGACGUUUUAAGUCCCAGGUUUAGGGUUUAGGACAAUUUUUGAAAUGACAAAUUGUAAAAGGAAAAAAGAUAUGCUCUAAUUUAUGUUUUUUUGGAUUUUGGUUAAAUCUUGUCAAACCGGUCAAACAACUGAUUCAGGAAAUAUAGAGUGUUACUAAAUAAUUAUGCAAUAAUAUUAGUGUUACUAAAUAAGUAUCUCAGUUUUUUUGAAUUUUGGUCAAAUCUGGUCAAACUGUGGUCAAACUGUGGUCAAACUAUGGUCAAACUACUUAUUCAAGAAAUAUUAGUGUUACUACAUAAUUAUUCAAGAAUAUUAGUGUUACUAAAUAAUUAUUUCAAUUUUUUUGAAUUUUGGUCAAAUCUGGUCAAACUGUGGUCAAACUAUGGUCAAACUUAUUCAAGAAAUAUUAGCGUUACUAAAUAAUUACUGUUUUUUUAGAAUAAUAGUUUCAAACUCAAACGGUGAAAUGUGCGACUUCAAGCUCAAGCUAAACUCCUGAGGGUUAAUAGGAUUGACAUCUUACUAUUGUCAGGAAAACAACAAGUGCAGACUCGAAAACGAGGGAGAAUAGAACCUGAAAGUUAAGCAUGCUUGGGCUGGAGUAGUGAGAGGGAUGGGUGACCGGUCGGGAAGUUAGAUGAUUUGGAAUGAGUGAUCCACACUUGAGCAGUUAAGAGAGGUGAUUAGAGACUAAAUCAUCAAAUAAUUCAGAAAAAUUAAUAAUAAUAAAAUCAAAUUUUUUUUCCAAAAUUUUCAAAAAAAAAACUUUAGUACCGGUUGGUAACAGCAACCGGUACUAAAGGUCGCCCAUACCAGGGCGCGAGCUCGUGCCACGUGGUUGCCCUUGAGCACCGGUUCGUGCUGAACCGGUACCAAAGGGGGGGCCUUUAGUGCCGAAACUUUAGUGCCGGUUCCAUAACUGGCACUAAAGGGCCUUACGAACCGGUGCUAUUGCCCUGUUCUGCACUAGUGCAUGUUCCUCACUAUGUAGGCAAUCCGCACUGGCGAAUUCCUAACUCCUCAGUCAGGACAAAUUCCUCAUUGACCAAAAGAACUGCAUCUCUGUCACUGAAGAAAUUGACUGAACUGUAUGAGAUUUCCAAUGGCUUCACUCGAAGGGAUUAGUAGGUGUAGGAUUUUGAGUUGAGCAUCACAUGGCAAUUUUCUCCUUAGUAUUUCCUCGACCCCAUUUAACAGUACGGUGUUUCCUAUGACUCAAGAAAGAGAAAAUGAAACUACGAAAACAAAAGUCUUCACGCUUCAUGUUCCUCAAAUGAAUACCAGGUCUUCAAGGUCACACCAAUUUCUUCACUUUCAAAGUCUUCAGAAAGUCUUCAGAAUAUCAAAGUCUUCAGUCGAAGAACUUCAUUUUAGGGGUCGACUUUCUCUGUAAAUAUCAAACUCCUCAUAGACUUAUAGACCUGUGUACACUCAUAAACGCAUCAGAUCCUUAACCUAUAAGUCUUCAAUACACCAAAAUCACUAAGGGGCACUAGAUGCACUUACAAUAUCCCCCUUUUUGGUGAUUGAUGACAAUAUAGGUUAAGUUUUCAACGGGGAUAGAUAUAUGAAGUGUAAAUACUGAUAUUGAGGAAUUUGAUUGCAAGAUAUAGAAGAACUCCCCCUGAAGAUGUGCAUAGUGAGGAAUUUGCUUUUGAAGCAAUGCACACUUGAAGAGUUGAAUCAUGGAGAACUCCCCCUAUAUCUUGUAAUUCAUACACACAUUUGACCUAUAAUAUGAAGAAUUUGAAAUGCAUGAUGAAAUAUGGUGACUGAUGUAAUUCAGCAUGCGUGCAAUAAUAUUAACGAGGAAUAAGCAUGCAGAAUAACAUAGCAGAAGUAUCACACCACCAUCGGGUUUAAGUUUACAACUCGAUCCAAUAAAAGUUUCGGAAGAACGAGAGUUGUAACUUAGCAAAAAAUCGCCCUUAUAAUAGACCCGCUUGAAGACUAACUCAUAUUUCUCCCCCUUUGUCAUCCAAUGACCAAAAGGAUCGAAACUGAGGACUAACGCCCCUGAAGAUAAUCAAGUUGAUGAAGGAGCGCCAGCGUUGUUGGGGUCGGUCGUUCAAGUAGGGCCUGCUGCAGUGUCGUCCAAGUCUUCAUUUUCAUCAGUCUCACGCGAUGAAGAAUAGGAGCUGGCCACCAAAGAAGGAACCUUGACCUUCUUGUAUUUCUUCGGAGGAGGUGCAGACCAGUCAAACUCUUCUUUGAGACCCGUUUUCUUCAGAUGUUCAGCGCUGUAAACUUGAGACAAAAUAGCCCAGGUGCGGUUGAGGGUUUCAUGGAGGUAGUAGUGGUUUUUCUUCACUGCAUUGUGUGUUGAAGUCAUGUUGUGAAGAAUUGAACCAAACUGACGCUUAACCCAUUUGUGAUUGCGAUCAACCUUCUGAUGAAGACUGAGGAGUAACUCAUGAUCAGUCAUCACCCUGGGUGUUGUGGCUUGAGGAUUUGGCUUGGCAUUGUUGGGGGCAGAGUCAUGUGUGGCAGAGUCAUCAUUGGUGGAGUAGGAUGCAGCCUUGCGAAAUUGACCAGCCAAUGGACAAAUGCCUUCAUCUAUCACAGAAGUUGCCUUGCCCUUUUCUUCAGCUGAGGAAAAUGUCCUUUUGAGGACUUCAAUAGGAGGCAAGUAGCUGCAGUGGGUCAGAGUGUCAGCUUUGUAAUUGAGUGAAGACCUUGUCCUAAUGAAUCUCAAAAUCCAUGGCGCAUAAGGCUUCAGCUCAAAUGGUGACAUAGCAAUGUUGGCCAGAGUCCUCAUGAAGAAAUCAUGGAAGUUUGACGGGAACGCCAUGAAUGAUGUUAAAAAGCAUAUUCUUCAUGAUGCCAACGACUUCUUCAUCAUUAGAGUCGUGGCCUUUGAUAGGACUCAUUGUCUUCGACAAAAUGCGAUAGACGGUCCGAGGCACAUACAACAAUUCCUUGAUGAGGAAUUUGGUUCAAGGGGCCUGCCCUGGCUUCAAAGGCUUCAUCAGCACUUGCAUAUAGUGAUUUGAAAGCUUUGGUUCGUUGUAAACACAACAUGCAUCUUCAAGGGGAGGACUUAGAGGAAGGGCACGAAGCAAUUCAGACGCUGGUGCCUUGUAAUGAGUGUUCUCUGUCAUCCAGUCCAGAACCCAUGAAUUCACAUCUUCAGAGUUGCCGGUGAUGUGCAGCGUUGCGUAGAACUAAAGAAUGAGUUCUUCAUUCCAAUCACAGAUGUCAGUGCAGAAAUUGAGCAGCCCAGCGUCAUAAAGAACACUGAGCACUACUAGGAAAAGGGCUAUGGAUAGGAUUGAUACUAAUGGCGCACCAGGGAAGUAGUGCGCCACUACUAUAUACUAAUGGCGCACCUGUUCGCGAUGCGCCAUUAGAGUGGAAGACACUAAUGGCGCACCAGAAACAGGGUGCGCCACUAGUAUUAAUUUUUUUUUUCCAUUUUCCAUACAUACUAAUGGCGCAUCUGGUCGAUAAUGCGCCAUUACUAGUUCUAACUAGUAAUGGCGAACCAGGCAUAGAGUGCGCCAUUACUGUUAUUCUUUUAUUCUUUUUUAAAAAAUUGUGGACUACAAUUGUUGUUAAACAACAAUUAUUACUGUUUGUAUAAAAAAAUAUUACCGUUUUCAUAUUCAUUUUUUUAAAAUAAAAAAAAACUUACUUAUGACGCAUUAACAGCUGGUGCGCCAUUGCUAUCUAAAAAAACAUUCUAAUGGCGCACCUCCUGGGUGUGCACGAUUAGUAAUCUUCCCCCAUCCAUACACUUCGUCCCUCCCUCGUCCCUCUCCCUCUUGCCAGAUCUGACACCGCGCCGCUCCCUCCCUCUUCCUCUCCCUCCAUCGCGCCGCUCCCUCCCUCCACCACGCCACCACCACUGCCCCGACCCACAGCACCGCAGCCGCCCACGCGCCCCCGCCGCCUCCCUCUCCCCUUCCUCCCCCUCCGACCCCACCCCGACGCGUCUCUGCCAGACAUCUCCCUGGUUGCCGCUCCCUCGCCUCCCCAUCGCCGCCGAAAGUUGUUGCUUUUCCUCUGCCUCUGGACGCCGCCCCCUUCCCCGUCGUGCAGAGCAUCCAGGCGAGACUCCGACGCCCCCCUCUUCAUCGCCCUCCUUGACGACACCCCCCUCUUCAACGCCGGCAGCUGCCAACCUGCCUCAGCCUCGUCACCGGACGGUGAGCUCCUCUUCUACUCUCGUGCGUGUGCUAGCUGCGAAUGCUUGAGCUAUUGGUGCUAUUGUGCUGCUGCUUGCGCUACUGUUCGGUUGUGCCACGGAUGGGUGGUUGUGCUGAUGCUAGUGGCUGCUAUUCUAAAAAAGAUCUCAGUUUUUCAAUUUAGGCAUGUGUAAACAAUAGUCAUUGCUAUGCGAAUUUGUCAACUGAAGCAUGUGUACAUAGUCGGCAUCUCACCUGUCAAUUGAUAUUUGUGGAGAGAGUGUGCAUUUGUUGUGUUGCCUGUUGAUAGUAUGCAAUGCAACUUUUAUCUUUUGAUUGAUACAUUAGUACAUUGUACACAUCGCACGAGUGAUACAUGUAUCAUGUCUUGAUAGGUAUAUCAUGCCUCAAUACAGCAGUCUGGCACAUAGGUGAAAUACAGAUGCAGUAACAGAAAUGCAUCUGUAGCUGGUUAGUGUCCCAAGUGUUUACCAAAUGCAAGUAGCAGCACUGAUUCAGUUAAUUAACUGAAGAAGAGAAGAUAGAAAGUAGAGAGCAAGAGGAGUACUUGCAUUAACAGAAAUGUUUUACUUUAAACUUACAAAAUUGCAGUACUCCCUAUAACUACUGCAAGCAAGAACUACUGUUGGAGGGCACUACUGUAGGGCAAAAGAGAAAGAGAAGAGAGAAGAUAUUCUCUGGUCUACUGAAACUUGCACUACUGCAAUUUACUCCUGGGAUACUAUAGUUCUUUGCAAAUUCUCUGCUCCACUCCAUUGCAUGCACUGCAAUACACUACUCCACUGCAUGUUUAAUCAGUUAACAGAAAAAGGUAUAGAACAAGCAAAUGUAAGAAAAGAAGAGAGCUUGUACUGCCAGUACAUCAUCAGGCAGUUCACCAGAGAUUUUCAAGUUAGAAAUACUCCCGGUGGUAGAUGAAGAGAGAAUAUCAUGAAGGAACAAUUUAGUUUUAAUUAAUGGAAAAGUUUCAUUUACUUGUAUUAAAGGAACAAUUUCAGUUAAGUAUAAAUAUUCAAUAGCAGCAGAGGCAAGCAGUAGCAGUAGCAGUAGAUGCCAACUUUUGAUAUGCAUGCAUGCAUUCUUUGCUUGGUUAUAUUCAUUCUGGUAAACUGAACAUGCUCAUCUAUCUAUCUAUCUAUCUAUCUAUCUACCUGCUUUAGUAUGUAUGUGUGCAUUGUAUUUUUAUUUCCUUUGGAAAGUAAAGUUCAUGUGAAAGGAAGAGAGAAAAAGAAAGGGAGGAAGAUAGAUGCUUCAGUCAGUCUAAGCCCAGCUUAAUUUGCUUGACAAUCACCUGCCUGGAUGGCUGGCAUGAUGGCUCAUGGAUCCCUCAGCUCCAGCUGCAGCUGGAGCUCAAUCUGAUCUCAUCUGAAAUGACUCUAUAAAUAGAGAGUGUAGUUAGUUACAGAGUAGCAGAAAUGGUUGCUGGAUGCAGUUACUUGCAUGGGCCUGGCUGAUGAAGAAAAACUUUAUAUGUAUUCAUACUGAUGUUGACUCUAUCAAUCAUACUUAUUGGACAUGUUUUACGUGUUGAUCCAUCAAUUGAUGACAUUGAGAAAGACUUGUAAAGAUGAUGAUCAUAUUUUACAGAAAACAAUUUUCAGCAAAGGUCAUAUCUCCGACCAUCGUGUCAUGAUGAUUUUGCAGGUACCCCAAGAGGCCCUUGAGUUUGUUGGAAUGUCAAUUAACUUCCGUUCCGGCAAAUUCGGGUACUCCAUAUGUUUUAUUUUCAGCAAAGGUCAUGCUGAAAUUUUCUGUGAAAUUUAGCAUGACUUUGCUAAAAAUAGGACAUAUGGGGUACUUGUGACUAAUGCCUGUUAUCAUGCAUGUUUUAUGAUCUAUUGUAAGGGUACUAAUUGGUCUCUUCUGCUGCUUAUCAGAGAUGGCGGGAAGCAGCCACCGCCGCUCUGCGACACUGCAGUACGAGUUGGAUGCUUCUGAGUUCUUCACUAUCAUACUUGGGACUUCAGUAUCAUCCAUGACGCAGGUAUAUAAAAUGAGAGAUCUCCCCUAGCUUCAGCCAUCUCAUUAUGAUAUCUGUUGUUUGCCUACAUCACUCAUUGUCCCAAACUGCAGAGGCUGCCUGACAGUUUUAAGAACAUGCUGAUGGGUGAAGAUCCGCCAAAUAAUGUAAAGGUGCGACAGGCCGGCAGCGGGUUUCACAAGCUGUGGGAUGUGGAGUUGGUGAUCAAGGAGGGCCACAUGUACUUGUCUCAUGGGUGGGAGAAGUUCUACCGUGCCUACGACCUGCGGCUGGGGUACUUCCUUCUCUUCAGGUACGACGACGACGCCACCACGCUCAUCGUGAAGGUGUUCAACGCGGCUAUGUGUCGCAUGCGUUACGCUGAAGAUUAUGAUGCCGGUAUGUUUUGCCUCUUCUUAUUCCUCUACAUUUGGCUUUGUCUCACAUUGAUUGUUAACGGUCAUUGUUGCAUUUGGCCAGGUAAUGGGAGCAGCAGCAGCGACAAUGGCUACAGCCAAAGCAGCAGCGACCAUGGCUGUAGCGAAAGCAGCAGCGACCAUGGCUGUAGCGAAAGCAGCAGCGAUUCUAGCAGCAGCAUAGACAACAAGAAGGAUGAUCCGGACUGGAGUGCGGGAGAAGAGGAAUAGAGUGGGGAUGAGGAGCUGCAGGAUGACGAUGGGCAUCAGGCUGAGGAUGACCUAGCGCUGGUGGUGGCUGACCAAGGGCAAGAGAUGGUGGUGGCUGACCAAGGGCAAGAGAUGGUGGUGGCUGACCAUGGGCAAGAGAUGGAGGUGGCUGAGGAUGACCUAGCGAUGGUCGUGCCUGAAGGUGGCCUCGUGAUGGUGGUGGUGCCUGACAAUGACCACGCACCGGUGGUGGCGCCGGCGAUCCCACAGCUGGGCGACAUGACCACGCCAAUGGAGGUAGAAGACUACAUCCCACUGCCUCCACCGCCUCCACCGCCUCGCCGCUCUUGGCGCAACAGGCUGAGGAAGGAGAAGGAGAAGAACAAUGCAUGAGAACUGAACGGUGUUGGAUGAACAAUGUGAAACUUUUGUAACAUGUAACGAUGGAACUAUGUGUUGGCUAUGUAUGUAUAUAUGAUGGAACUUGUGUGUUGGCUAUCUAUGUAUAUAUGAUGGAACUUGUGUGUUGGCUAUGAUUGUUAUAUGGAUGCUUGUUGUAUAUCUCAUAGGUGAAAUAGUGACCUGAGAUUAAGAAAAAAAAUAAAAAAUUGUUACUAAUGGCACAUUACCGUGUGGUGCGCCAUUAGUAUAGCAAACACUAGUGGCGCACCAUGGGCAAAACUAAUGGCGCACUUCCAGGUGUGCCAUGAGUAUACCAGAUACUAAUGGCGCACCAGUGGUGCGCCAUCAGUAAGAUAUACUAGUGGCGUGCUACUAAUGGCACACUGGUAAUGCGCCAUUAGUAGGCAAAACCAAUGCGCCAUUAGUAGGCCUUCUCCUAGUAGUGGAGGACUGGCGUGAAGCAUGGCAGAGACACCAUGUCUACAUGAGGAAUAUGUGCAUGGUCGAAGACUUUGUCUUUGUUGAACAACACUGAGGAAUAGAAGUUGGCUUAACUAGCAGUCCAGAAACGCCUCUUCCUUAUGCGAGCAGAGUCAUAGGGGUUGUAAUCUGUGAAGAAUACAUGCUCGCCAAAGAAGUCUUCAGCCUUGAACUUUUGCUUCCUUGAGAACGGAUCCUUUGGCUUGGGCAGAGGAGUGUCAGUGAGUUGCAUCACUACCUCAGGAAUCGCGAGCUCAGGUUCUUCUGUCUGAGGAAUUCCUGGUUCCUCCUCAGGUGCAGACAUAUUUUCAGUAGCAGCAGUUUCUUCAGCACUAGUGGCUGGAAUUUCUUCACGGACAGAUGAGGUGGGAUGAGUUUCUUCAGAGCCCAAUUGAACUAUUGGUGCAGGGGAGUGAGGGAUUUGCUGUAGUGGGGUGAAGAGUGGAGAAUUGGGAUGCUGACUUUCCCAAAAGUCGUCAUUCAUCACUGGAGUUGUGCUUCCAAUGUCCACAUCUUCAUCAUCAAUUUCUUUAACACCAGCCUCUUCAGCAGUAAACUGAGGCAUUGGUGAUGAAACCACUGGGGUUGAAGGGAUCGCAUCCACUUCAAUUUCCUCAUCAAUCUGCUCUGACGAAGCGGCAGAUUGAGUUUCUUCAUCAGAUCCGCUUGGGAUCACAUAUUCUUCAUCAAAAGGAACAAGGUCCUUUGAUGGCAUGGUGGAAAUCGGAACAGCAUCGAUCGGAUUUUCAUAUGAGGUGGUCAUAGGCUUCAUCUUCUUUGGAGCUGAAGAUUCUGAAGCAUUUGAUGCUUUCCUUUUCUUCACUGCAGCUCGCUCUGCAGCCUUGGUCUUCUUCACAUCUCAUGCAGAUGGAAGGAUAGGAGUUGGUGUAGGCGCAGGUGGAGCUGAGGAAUGUGGUUGUAUUUCCUCAGGCGCAACUGAUGCAGUUGCCCUGACUUCUUCAGCUUCUUUAGGCGCACCACUAGUGGAUGCCCUGGCAACUUCUUCAGCGGCUGGAAUGGAGUCAUCAGCCCUAGAACUAGCAUUUUUUCAGCAACCUGAACUUCAUCAGCGGUGCUGGCGUGUUCUUCAGUCGGCUGAGCAGAAGCUUCAGCAUGAGGAACUUCUUGCUGCGAUGGGGCUGCAACAUUGGUGAAUUUCUCAGUCAGUUUCACGAACCUGACUUUGGCUCCUUGCCAAUCAUCAUAGUAAGAGUUGAACUUGUCGGUGAGGGUUUCGAUUUCAGACUGGAUCUUUCUGAGUUCAUCAGUCGUCAUUGUGACCACGUUGGUCUUCAGAUACUUUUCCUUCUUGUACUGGGCUUUCUUGAUUUGUCUGGCCUGGUCAUAUUUCCACUUCCCCUCUUGAAUGAAGUGAGUCAACAUGUGAUUUUGACCAGGUUCAACUGGAAGUUAGGCAUAGGUGAAUUUGGAUCCUUAUGCCAGAGAUCGAUAUAAUCGAGGAUCACCCUUGGAUCCAAAAGCAGUGGCACAGGUGUGCCUUUGGCUCUAGCGGCCCUUACUUGUCAGUCUCUGAUGAUUUCUGCAAGUUCAUCAUCAUCAGCCUCAUCGUCUUCAGGUGGCUCUUGGAAGGCUCCUUUUUCUUCUUGGGACUUGGCCGAGGACCUCGUCCAGCUGUUGCCUUAGUCUUCAGCAGAGUUGGGCCAGAUGAAGAAUUUGGCGCAGCUGAGGAACUUGCCGAGACACCAGAGGCAAUUGAGAUGCCUGCAGUCCUUUGGCACGAGGCCAGAUGCACAGGUGCUGAGGACUUUGUCAGAACUCCUAAGGACUUUGGAGGAGGUGCUGAGGAUUUUGAAGGAGCAGGAUCAGCAUGAGGAAUUGGUCUUGAAGAUUUUGACGUUCCUGGCCAUGAGGGUGCAGCUGAGGAACUUGGCCGUGAGGGCGUUGUUGGUGAAGCACUUGGCUUACGAGCAGGCUUCUUAGCCAUUGAUUUCCUCGGCUUGACAGAGGCCUCAGUGGCUGUAGCAGCAGCAGAAUCUUCGUUGAAUUUCCUCACUGCUUCUCUGGCUUGUCUUGCCAAUUUGGCUUGACGCCUGGCCCAUUCUUCAGGAAAGUCCUCACCGCGUUUGACGCUAGUGGGAUCAGCCACUUGGCCAGGUGCCAGUGGAAGUCUUGGGCAUGGAGGGUUGAGAGCGAAUUUCUUCAUGUACUUUGGAGUGACGUAUCUGUACUCCCUCCAUUCACGUGCCCAUCUCCGUUCAAUCCUUUGAAUGCGCACCUUGCGCUAAUUUUUGUUCUCUUUGCCAAACUUGGCUUCAUCAGGUGUGCAGUACUCAGCAUAUAUAUCCUUAGGCAUUCCAAACAUAGUCAUAACCUCAGGUUUCUUUCCUCCUUUCUGUGGCUUCUUACCAUCUGCCAUAUUCUUCAGCUGAGGAAUUUGAACAAUCGAAUUCUCUGAAGAAGUAUGCAGUUUUUCUUCAAGGAACGCUGCAAACGAGUUAAGUUGAUGAGAACCUAAUGAUUCAGCAGCGGACAUGAGUACCUGUGAACAGAAUGUAGUUGCGAGGAAUUUGGAGAGGUCAUAUGCGUUCUCAGAAGGUUUUCUAAAAAGAACAAGUUUGAGGAAUUUGACCGAUGCGUCUUGAAGAAUUUCACUAAGCAUGCUUUGUCUUAGGUUCCAGAGUUGUACAGAUCGGAGAUCCACACAAUUGAGGAAUCUUGAAGAAAAUAAAGCUUAGAGAAAUGAAUCAAGAACAGAAGAUUUGUGAGGUGUUUUGUGUGUGACGAUUUGGGAAAUAAAAAUACCUUUUGAAGAUUUUGUAGAAAAGUUUCGAAUCAAAGAGGGCAGUAAAAGUAACUUUUAAUUACCCUGAAUGAAGAACACGACGAACAGUGAGAUGAAACAGUGAAGUUCGUCAAUGUAGAUCUUCCACGCCCUAACUCGGCAGAGGAAGACGUCUACGGCGGCGGCGGAGGUGAAGAUUUCCGCGGUCGGCGCGAGUACGACGGCGACGAGGUCGAGGCAGUGAAGCUCUUCCUCACCGGCGACGAUGGAGUAGCGGCGGCGCUAGGGUUUGUGAAGCUCGAGCGGGAGAGAGAGAUCGAGCGCAGUAAAAGAAGUGAGGAAGGGGUGAGGGGGUAUUUAUAGUGGCAGUGAAAAACUGUUCGCCCAAAGAUUUGGGACGAACGUGCCCCUGACCUUUCUCCUUCUCACGACAUGUGUCACCCACGUACUGUGUAGUGGAGAUCGUGUUAGAUCGUGGGUGAAUAGAAUAAUGCAUCGUGGGAUGCGGAACGGUUUGAGCGGCAAAACCAAAAAUUUGGAGAAGAUUAGUUUUAACGUUCCGUUCGCAAUCUCUUCAGCUGACAAGGACACUGUGAAGAUUUUGAACGAGUUUCAAAUAGAACGCACAUGAAGAAUUUGUCAAUAGAUUGGAUUGAGUAUAGCAUAGAGGGGAAGGGUCCGAUCACAUUCACUUAGCAGAGAAACCAACUUGAAGAAAUAGCUAUAAGUGAAUGUUGUAGAGGACAUAAAUUCAAGUGAAGAUUUUGCAAGUUGAAGAAUUUGAACAACUCAGGAAUUUCAAAACUGAGGAAAAACUCAAAUUGAAGAUUUUCAACUUUUGUGGUGGCGUGACCCACCGUAUAAGAAUGAUGAUUUCAAACACCGCGUACAAUUGUCGUAGGGUUCUGAGAAUCAAAUUCUUCAUUAAUUUCUUCACACUUAGAGUGUUAUUUCUUCAUUGAUUGAAGAAAAACGUUUCUUCAUGUGUUGCACAUCUAAGUCAUCAAUUUUGCAUAAGUGUUAGGAUGAGUGCCUUUUCAAAGUACAUUCGAAGACUCUAAGAUAUUUAGCUCACACCGCGACUUGCUAAAUCUCUUCUCAUCCAAGGGCUUAGUGAAGAUAUCGGCUAGCUGUUCUUCAGUCUUCACAUGCUCAAUAGAAAUAUCGCCCUUCAACACAUGAUCGCGAAGAAAAUGAUGACGAAUCUGAAUGUGCUUUGUCUUUGAGUGCUGAACUGGGUUGUGAGCAAUCUUGAUGGCACUCUCAUUGUCACAGAGGAGAGGCACAUUCUUCACGUUGACGCCAUAGUCCUUGAGUGUUUGCUUCAUCCAUAGCAGUUGAGCACAGCAAGAACCAGCAGCAAUGUAUUCAGCUUCAGAAGUAGACAGUGACACGCAGUUCUAUUUCUUCGAGGACCAACAGACCAAGGAUCGUCCGAGGAAAUGACAAGUACGAGAUGUUGACUUGCGGUCCACACGAUCACCAGCAUACAGAGUCAAAAUAUCCAAUGAGAUCAAAAUCCGAGCCCUUGGGAUACCAUAAUCCUAGUGUUGGUGUGUGAGCUAGAUAUCGAAGAAUAUGCUUCACAGCCUUAUGGUGUGAUUCCUUUGGUGCAGCUUGAAAUCGGGCACACAUGCAAACACUAAGCAUUAUAUCUGGCCUAGAUGCACAUAAGUACAAUAAAGAGCCAAUCAUGGAGCAGUAUAGCUUAUGAUCGAAGUCAAUACCGUUUUCAUCAGUGCAUAGAUGACCAUUUGUGGGCAUAGGAAUUUUGAUGCCUUUGCAAUCUUGCAUGCCGAAUUACUUCAGGACAUCCUUGAGGUAUUUCUCCUAAGAUAUGCAUAUGCUAUUGUGCUGUUGACGAAUUUGAAGACCUAAGAAGAAUUUCAAAUCUCCCAUCAUAGACAUUUGAUAUUCUUCACCCAUCAUAUAGGCAAAUUCAUCACUAUAACAUUGGUCAGUACAGCCAAAGAUGAUAUCAUCAACAUAUAUUUGGCACACAAACAGUUGACCAUCAUAAGAUUUAGUAAAGAGAGUGGGAUCGAGUGAACCGGGUGUGAAGCCUUUCUUCAUGAAGAAUUCCUUCAGAGUAUCAUACCACGCCCGUGGGGCCUGCUUGAGGCCAUAGAGGGCCUCGUUAAGUCUAAAGACUUUGUCAGGAUGUUUUGGAUCUUGAAAACCUGGGGGUUGAGCAACAUAUACUUCUUCCUCAAGCUUACCAUUGAGGAAUGAACUUUUCACAUCCAUUUGAUAUAAGAUGAUAUCAUGUUGGUUAGCAUAAGCAAGCAAUAUGCGAAUAGCCUCAAGUCUAGCAACAGGUGCAAAAGUUUCAUCGAAAUCAACUCCUUCAACCUAUGUGUAGCCUUGAGCUACUAGUCGUGCCUUAUUCCUCACCACAACACCAUUUUCGUCUUGCUUGUUGCGGUAGAUCCACUUUGUGCCAAUGGUGUUAUGCUUGCGAGGAUCGGGACGAUUGACCAGUUCCCAGACGUUGUUGAGCUUGAACUGAUGUAAUUCUUCUUGCAUGGCCUGAAUCCCCUCAGGCUCCAGAAAUGCUUCAUCUACCUUAGUGGGCUAUGUGAUAGAGACAAAAGCAAAGUUCCCACAAAAGUUAGAUAGAUGUGAAGCUUUUGAACGUGUGAGAGGACCUGGUGCUCUAAUGUCAUCGAUGAUCUUCUCCACUUGCACUUCUUUUGCAAUGCGAGGAUGAGCUGGUUGUCGUUGAGGAAUUUGAUCAGCAUUUUCUUCAGCAUCAAUUUCCUCAGCAUUUUCUUCAGGUACAUCAGAUCGAUGUUCUUCACGUUCUGGAAUGAAUUCUUCAGCAGAUUCUUCAGUAGGAAUGACAUCUUCAGUAGCCUUGUGCUUGAUAGAAUCCCCAGGUGCUGGUUCAUCUAACACAGAAGGUAGGUGCUCUCUUUGCAAGCCAUUAGUUUCAUCGAACCGCACAUCUACAGUUUCAAGAAUCUUGUGAAGAACAUUGUUGAAGACUCUGUAGGUGUGUGAGUCCUUUCCGUAACCAAGCAUAAACCUUCAUGUGCUUUCGGUGCAAAUUUAGAGUUGUGAUGAGGAUCUCUAAUCCAGCAUUUUGCACCGAAGAGUUUGAAAUAACUCACAUUGGGUUUCUUGUCAGUGAGGAGUUCAUAGGCAGUCUUCUUGAAGAAUUUGUGAAGAUAUACUCUGUUGAUGAUGUGGCACGCAGUAUCAAUUGCAUCAACCCAUAAACGAUGAGGGGUUUUGUAUUCGUCAAGCAUGGUGCGAGCCAUCUCAGCAAGAGUCCUAUUCUUGCGCUCCACGACGCCAUUCUGUUGAGGAGUAUAAGGAGCAGAUAACUCAUGAGUAAUACCAAGUUCAUCAAGAUAUUCAUCAAGACCCAAAUUCUUUAACUCAGUGCCAUUGUCACUUCUGAUGUGCUUGAUCUUCACACCAAAGUUGGUUGAAGCCCUCGAGAAAUCGUUUGAAGACUUCCUGCACUUCAUGUUUGUAAGAGACAAGGUGUACCCAUGUGUAACGAGAGUAAUCAUCAACAAUAACAAAGCCAUAUUGAGAUGCUUCCUUUGAAACAGAGGAAUAAUGAUUAGGACCAAAGAGAUCCAUGUGAAGCAAUUCGAAUGGACGAGUAGUGGUCAUGAUGGUCUUUGCUGGAUGCUUGGCCUUGGUCAUCUUUCCAGCUUCACAGACACCGCAUAAGUGAUCCUUUAGGAAUUUGACAUUCUCAAUGCCAAUAACAUGCUUCUUCUUCACAAGCGUGUGCAAAUUCCUCAUGCCUGCAUGACCAAGUCGUCGAUGCCAUAGCCAUCCUUCUAAAGCUUUUGCAAGUAGGCACACGGCUGGUUGUGAAUCUGCAGAGAAAUCAACAACAUACAAGUCUCCUCUCCUAAAGCCUUCGAAGUCUUUGGAUUUGUCAGCUUCCAUAAUCACAACACAACGAUACUUGCCAAAGACAACAACCAUAUCAAGAUCACAAAGCAUUGAGACAGACAUAAGGUUGUAUCCUAAGGACUCAACAAGCAUGACUUUGUCCAUGUGUGGAUCCUUUGUGAUGGCAACCUUACCUAGACCCAAUACCUGACUUUUGCUCUUGUCAGCGAAGAUGAUAUGCUUCUAAUGUGAUGACGAUAAGGGAGCAUCCGUCAACAGAUUUCUGUCACCAGUCAUGUGAUUUGGUAAACUUGUACUGUAAGUUAGGAAUAAGGAGAGACCAACCCGGAUACGAGUAUGAAUCGGUGAUUGGGACUCUAUGAACCGACGAUGGUUUCAAGUUCUUGGAGGGCCGCUUUGAAGGACUCGAGGGCUACGCUGUGGGCCAGAUGACUAAGAGUCGUCGCGGCAAGCUCUACAUCGAUGAUAAAGGCUGGGGCCCCGAGGCCGGCUCAAUUGAGUACGGGUACCGGGUCCCCUUUGGUGGCAUACACCUCUUCAUCGGCAAGAUCGGUGAACCGGGCCCUGAGUCGGACAUCAUCACCAACCUCGUCAAGACGGCUCAGCGUGCGCGAUCUGCCCAGGUUAAACCGGUCGUGAAGCGUGCCUUCGUGGGAGUCAUCCAUGGAGGAAGUUAUGAGAACGGAUCAGAAUCUGGUGGCGAGACCGUCGUUUACUCCGGCGACGAGUCAUCAACCGGAGAAACCGAAUCUCUGUAUCAACUGCAAGAUGGCCGGAUUGGGGGCUGUUCCGAUGGCGAUAGUAUUCCGGACCCCUCUGAUCUGCCCCACCGGGUUGGAAUAUUCAUGGCCGGUACACAGGCCGCGCUUCACUCUUCGACCGCUGCGGCAAUGAUCUCCGGUUCAGUAGCGGCGACGGCUACCGGGGCAGGAGGCUUUGUACGCCCGCCGGCUCAAGUUUUAUCGGAUCUGUUCGAUGCAUUGGCUGCACUCAUGGCAGGGGCUAACCCAGCGGAUUAGGACGCUCACAACGCGGAAAUUGCAAAAGUGAAGGAGCAAAUCACUCAGGCUAAUGCGGACCUAGAAACUGAAGAUGCCAGGAUGACUGCAAAGCAGGCCGCUUUAGAUGCACAAGCCUACAGGCUCAUGUUGGACCAGAACGCAUCGUAGGAAGUCAUGAGGAGGAAGUACCGAUCUCGUCUGCCUUCGGUCUUCGAAGCCAGAGACCUCUUCAACACCCCCGGAGCGGGAACUAGUAAUCCGCCAGUGGUAAACCGGGCGGAAGCACCUGGGACGGGCGCACCGGUCCAGCCCCGUUUAAUAGAUCUGCCCCGUCAUAAUACUGGUGUACCUCAGGUCGUGCCAACACCUCUGGGUCACUACACUAACCCGAUGGACAACCUUGUUGCGGCUGCUGCACGGCUGGAGGCCAUUCCAAUUGAAGGUGAUUCGCCGCAGGCGGUGGAGACACGCCGGGUCAAGGAGCUCCUUAGGACAGCUUUGGUUCAACAGGAAGCGUAUUCAUACAGCCGCGAUCGGAUCCACUCAACCCCUCGCCCGAGCCGGUAUUAUAGCAGGCAUAUGGAUGAGCCGGCCGUGUCAAGUAAUGCAUGACGAGGAGCGCCCCGUGGUAACAACCCGGUAGGAGAUGUCGAUAAUGCUCAGGAAGUGGUGGACCGGGCCCGAGCGCGCAGGGAGGCCGAGUUAGCGGCAUAGUAUCAAGACCAUCGACUUACGCCGGUUCGUCCGACCACAAUGGUCGAGCCUGGAGUUACCUCUAGUGCUUUGGGGAUGCCCUGCCUUGUUCCCGCUUUACGCAAUGUGUGCCUGCCCAAGGAUUUCAAGGGCCCGCGCAAGGUACCAAAUUAUACGUCGGAUCAACCUCCCGAGACAUGGGUGGAGAGCUAUGAGAUGGCCAUGGAGAUGCUUGACGUGGAUGAGGCGGAGUGUGCAAAGUACUUCACCAUGAUGCUAGAAGGAACGGCCCGUACAUGGUUAAAAAGCUUACCGGCCAAUUCUAUCAGUUCAUGGGCCCAGUUACGAGCCCGGUUUAUGAGUAAUUUCAAAGACAUGUGUAAGCAGCCGAUGUCGAUAGUGGAUCUAGCUGCCUGUGUCCAGGAGGAAGGAGAAUCAACGACGCAUUGGGUGCGCCGGGUCUCGCAAGUUCUGCAUUCAUCAGACCGCAUCAAUGCUGACACCGCGGUUAUAACCCUGGAGGGCAAUUGCCGGUUUGGGCCCCUAAAGCUGAAAUUAGGGCGGAUGAAGCGCCAUUGCACUGAUAUAGGGAAUCUCAUGGGCGCUUUAGUAAAGUAUGUUGAUUCUGAUAGUACCAAGGAUCCCGAGUCUGAUGAUGAGAAGACAGGGAAGGGAAAGAAGAACGACAACUCCAAAGGUCAGCAACAUCACCCGACAGGUAAUGGUGGCGGAGGCAAGCGCAAAGCGGAUGGCAACAUGGACUUCGUGGCUAAUACCAACACGCAGGACAAGGGCCAGCGGCGUAAGGGUAAACCGCAGAAUCGCAGUGGAGCGCCUAACCCUAACCCGGACCGCCUAAACUAUCUGUUGAACCAGCCCUGCCCAAAGCAUGGGACGAAGGAGGUGCCAGCGAACCACCUUUGGAAGGAUUGUUACAUUAUGUAGGAGUUCAAAAAUUCUAAUGCUUUCCAGUAUGAUCACGGCUCUGGCGGUGGCUUAGGAUCCGGGCCGGGUUACGGUGGAGGAAGUUCCGGUUCAGGAUUCAAUGGUAAUCCAGGCGGACAUAGUAAUCAGAAUAAUCAGAGUAACCAGGGUGGUUACAACCAGCAGCAGCAACAGUCAGGUUACCAGAGCAACCCCAAGCGGUUGAAUAGUGGGCAGUACCAUGUCUUCACCACUAGCUUAGACAAUCUAGACCGGAAGGUUCAGAAGCGGGCAGUCAACUGUGUUGAACCGGCUGUGCCCCGUUACUUACGCUGGUCUGAACAGCCAGUCAUAUGGAGCAGAGAGGAUCACCCACCCCGGGUGGAUAACCCGGGUCAGCUAGCGUUGGUGGUGGCACCUCAGGUGGGAGGUUAUAAGUUCACCAAGGUACUCAUGGAUGGAGGGAGCAGCAUUAAUAUCUUGUACUAUGAGACCUUCCGUCGUAUGGGAUUAACAGAUAAAAAUCUCAAACCAUCCAAUACGGUGUUCCAUGGUGUGGUACCUGGCAAAUCAGCAUAUCCUGUUGGAAAGAUAGCUCUGGAAGUGGCCUUUGGGGAUGAUCAUGAUUCCAGGACGGAUACGCUAACGUUUGAAGUGGUAAAAAUCCAAAGUACGUAUCACGCCCUGUUUGGGCGACUGGCCUAUGCCAAGUUCAUCGCACGGCCUUAUUAUGUAUACUUGCAGCUCAAGAUGCCGGGUAACAAGGGGACAAUUACGGUUCAUGGAAGCCGUCGAGUUGCUUUGGAGUGCGAGGAAGGAGAUGCGGCCUACGCAGAGUCGGUUUGUGCCACCGAGGAGCUGAAAUUUUAUAAAGACAAUGUUGAUCCGGCAGAUAUGACUCCGUUAAAGAAGCCAACUACAGAGCAUGAUCCGGCCUUGAAGUUCAAAUCGGCAGCUGAGACUAAGCUUGUUGACUUCGUGCCUGGCGAUUCGUCCAAGCAGUUCAGCAUCAGUGCCAAUUUGGAUCCGAAAUAGGAAAGCGCGCUCAUCGAGUUCAUCCGUGAGAAUCGGGAUAUUUUUGCAUGGAAGCCUUCUGACAUGCCAGGUGUACCGAGGCAACUCGCUCAACAUACUCUUAAUGUGGAUCCUAAAUACAAACCGGUGAAACAGUUCCUCCGCCGGUUUAACGAAGAAAGAUGCAAAGCUAUUUGCAGCUGGUUUUAUUGUUGAAGUUUUCCACCCUGAGUGGCUUGCUAAUCCGGUGCUGGUUCUUAAGAAAAACGGCACCUGGCGUAUGUGUGUGGACUACACGGACCUUAAUAAAGCUUGUCCAGCAGAUCCUUUUGCCCUCCCCCGUAUUGAUCAAAUCAUUGAUGCUAUGGCGGGUUGUGAACGUUUGAGUUUUUGGAUGCAUAUUCCGGCUAUCAUGAGAUCAAAAUGGCAGCUAAGGACCAGGAGAAGACGGUGUUCAUAACACCCUUUGGAGCCUUCUGCUAUGUAUCUAUGCCUUUUGGGCUCAAGAGUGCCCGGGCGAAUUAUCAAUGGUGUGUUCAGAAUUUCCUUCACAAGCAGAUUGGCCGUAAUGUACAUGCUUACAUGGAUGACAUUGUGGUUAAGUCAAGGAAGAAGGAGACUCUGGUUGAUGAUUUGAAGGAAACCUUUGAUAACCUGAGGACGUACAAGAUGAUGCUCAAUCCGGCCAAAUGUGUUUUGGUGUAUCGGCAGGCAAGUUAUUGGGUUUUCUGGUGUCCAACAGGGGAAUUGAGGCUAAUCCGGAGAAGAUUACAGCUAUCACCUCCCUGGCUAAACCGAAGUGUAUCAAUGAUGUUCAGCGUUUGGCUGGUCAGAUUGCCGCGUUGAGCCGGUUUAUCAGCCGCCUUGGUGAGAAGGCGAUCCCCUUGUAUCAGAUGUUGUAGAAGAUGGAUCAAUUCGUCUGGUGUUCUGGUGCUGAUCAGGCAUUUGAGGAUUUAAAGCCGCAAUUGGCCAAUCCGCCCGUGCUCGCCGCUCCCAUUGACAAGGAGCCAUUGCUGCUAUAUGUCGCUGCCAAUGCUCGGGCGGUCAGUGUGGCUAUUGUGGUGGAGCGGAAGGAGGCAGGCAAGGAGCAUCCGGUUCAACGUCCGAUUUAUUAUAUCAGCGAAGUGCUUAUUGAGUCCAAGCAAAGGUAUCCUCACUGGCAGAAGCUGGUAUAUGGAGUUUUUAUGGCAAGCCGGAAGCUGAAGCAGUAUUUCCAAGGGCACCCCAUCAUAGUGGUCAGUUCUGCCCCCUUGGGCGAUAUCAUCCAGAACCGGGAGGCGACUGGCCGGAUUGCCAAGUGGGCUAUAGAGCUUGGGCCGCACGGGUUAAAGUACGUGCCUCAGACGGCGGUGAAGUCUCAAGCACUUGUUGAUUUCAUCAAUGAUUGGAUGGAGCUGCAGGCCCCUGUAGAGAAGCCGGAUCACACAUAUUGGACCAUCCAUUUUGACGGAUCACGGCAAUUGGAGGGCUCGGGGGCUGGAGUCGUAUUAACUUCCCCACGAGGUGAGAAGUUCUGUUACGUUCUCCGCUUAAUGUUCCCUUGUACUAACAAUGCAGCUGAGUAUGAAGCCUUGCUCCAUGGUCUCCGGAUGGCUAAGGAGAUGAAUCUAAGCCAGGUUAAGUGCUUCGGUGACUCGGACCUAGUGGCUCAACAGGUCUCUGGCACUUGGGAUUCUAAAGACCCACUCAUGGCUGCAUAUCGUCGUGAGGUGGAUAUUGUUGUAGGCCACUUCAAGGGUCAUUAGGUGGACCACGUGGACCAUCAAAAGAAUGAGGCGGCGGACGCUUUAAGCCAGUUGGGCUCUCAGCAUAAACCGGUCCCGCCUAAUGUUUUUCUUGAUGAGCUGCACAACCCGUCGAUCAAGCUCCCUGGUGAAGCGGAUUUGGCUAUUCCUGAUCCGGAGGCUCAAUUGGUGGCAUCUCUUCACGCCAUUCCUGAUUGGACGCUUCCUUAUCUUGCGUACAUGAACCGGGGCGAGCUACCAGAGGAUGAAACCUUGGCCCAGCAGAUAAUCCGGCGAUCUAAGUCCAUGACUAUUGUUGAUGGCGAAUUGCAUCGUUGCAGUGUAUCAGGGGCGUUUCAAUGCUGUGUGUCUCCUGAGGAAGGAUGUGAAAUUUUGCGUGAGAUCCAUGAAGGAGAUUUUGGUCACCACGCCGGUUCAAAAUCCUUGGUGGCUAAAGCAUUCUGCCAUGGUUUUUAUUGGUUAACUGCUCAUGCUGAUGCGGAGGAUCUGGUCAGACGGUGUGACGGUUGCCAAAAGUUUUCAAGACGCGCUCAUGUGCCGGCUCAAGAAUUGAGGAUGAUUCCAAUCACUUGGUCGUUUGCAACUUGGGGGCUGGAUAUGGAUGGGCCUUUCAAAAGGUCCAAGGACAAGAAGACCCACCUCUUGGUGUUGGUUGACAAGUUUACAAAGUGGGUGGAGGCAGAACCUGUUAGCAAGUGUGAUGCGGUCACGGUGGUUCAGUUCAUCAAAAAGGUGAUUUUCCGGUUUUGUUUUCCACACAGUAUCAUCAUAGACAAUGGUACCAAUUUGUCCAAAGGUGCCAUGAAGGAGUUCUGCGAACGUGAGCACAUCCGCCUUGACGUUUCAUCAGUGGCGCACCCAUAGUCCAAUGGUCAAGCAGAAAGAGCUAAUCAGGAGAUCUUGAGAGGCAUCAGGCCCCGGCUUAUGGUUCCUUUGCAAAGGACACUGGGUUGUUGGGUAGAAGAGUUGCCAUCUGUGUUAUGGAGCAUCAAUACCACACCAAACAGAUCAACAGGAUACACGCCGUUCUUCAUGGUCUAUGGAGCGGAGGCGGUUCUCCCUAGUGAUAUCCGUCACGAUUCACCUCGUGUGGCGGCUUAUGUUGAAGCGGACAACGAGGCAGCAUGGCAAGAUGCUUUGGACCGGUUGGAUGAAGAGCGUGACAUAGCAGCUGCCCGCUCGGCGAUUACCAACAGGAUCUUCAUCGUUAUCAUAGUCGCCGAGUCAGGACCAGAACUUUUCAAGAAGGAGAUUUGGUGCUCCGGCUCAUCCAAGAUCAGACUGAUAUGCAUAGGUUAUCCCCACCUUGGGAGGGACCUUUCGUGGUCAGCAAGAAUCUGCACAACGGGUCAUACUAUCUGAUCAAUAUUCGAGAGCGUAAAGACUCACGCAAAUCAGAGGUGGAGACCAACAGGCCGUGGAAUAUAGGUCAUCUUCAGCCUUACUAUGGCCGAGCCAUUGGCUCUACUUAUGUACAUAUUACGACAGUGUAUAUAUUAUUAAUAUAAUAAACCGGAGCCUCAACUAAAGCGGGGUAUCUGUUCUUUUACAUCAUGCGUCGUUACAUGGAGUUGUUCUGUCUUAAAGCGGCCUCCGGUUUACCCCUUGAAAAAUUUAUAAACAUCACUUGGGGGCUUGGUCGUGUCCGAACCAAUGCAACACCUUUUGAUAGGCGAAAGCCACCAGAUCACUUGGGGACAUGGUCAAUUCUGAACCAGUCACGCCUCUUGAUCGGCCUAAGGCGAUAGAAUCACUUGGGGCUUGGUCGAACCCGAACCAUUGCCACGCCUCUUGAUCGGCAUAAUGCCACGGUUUCAUUUGGGGACCUGGUUGACUUGAACCAUAGCUACACCUAUCGGGAGCUUGGUCGUGUCCGACCAUGGUAACACCAUCUGAUCGGCUCAGUAAAGCCUCUUUUUGCAAAUGGUUUUAUUAUUGCCUUUUGCUUCAAUAUCUUACUUAAAUACUAUUACUAUUGCGUUUUUAAACCGACAACGUUUUAAACUGGCUCAAAUUGUCAAAUUGACGGAGCACGGUCUGUUUUUAAUCCGGAGAUUAUUUGCUCGGUUUGACUUUUUCUGUUAAACAUCCCAUUAUGGAGUAACAGGGUAUUUAUCAUAACCCGGCACAGUUUACAUGGUAAACCGGCAUUAUAUAUACAGGAGCUGUUUUCUCCUUUGACGGUAUAUUUUAUAAACGUCCGCUUCAAGAUUGGCUAAGCCCACUUCAUGCCCAUCGAUGGCAGGUAUUUUGUAUCGCAGAAUUUGAUCAUAUAUAUCGAUUUAUUUAUAAAGGUCACAAACCGGCCGACGGUACAACCGCCGUAGCCGUUUAAAGAUUUUGUGAUUGUAGGAAAUAUAGAUUGAAGGUUUCGAUCAUUCAAUCAAAAGUAUCAGCACCUAUGCACGAAAGCAUCUCAGAAGCAAACGUGUUGGCUAUCCUAUUACAAGGCAACAUGGUGCCCAAAUAAGAUCAUUGUUUUCUUGGCGGAAAAUAAUAAAGCAGCCAUUUAAACCGGCUUCCGAUUCAUGCUUGGUCACCACCUUGGUCUGAUGGUUGUGGGUCGUCCUGCGCCGCUUCAGCUUCUUCUUCCCUACCCAGUGGCUGGAAGUCAACAGUGGUCCAGUCGAUUCCCAUUAAGGCUUGAAAGACAGCUUCAUCAUGGAUCAGUGAAGACGGUUCAAUAUCAGGAGCAUAAGUAUGCUUACGGAUUGGAGGGAUCAGAUUCUCCGCUUCAGGAAUUGGUGCAGCCACUCAUUUGUUCUGAUUGUUAUAUUGAGCUUGAUUAUGCGUCAAGUCUGCCUCUUCCACCAAUUGGCAAGCCAGAGCGCGCACCGCCCAGUUUAUAGCUCUCAGAUCAUCUUCAUUGAACUCUAAGCCGUCUUCCUUCAAACUGGGAUAGCCCUGAGCUACUUCCAUAGGAUCGAAAUCCGGCACCCAUGCUUUUGCCUGGAUUAAGGCAUUAAUGGCGCCGAUUCGAGCAGCAGAUUUCUUCAGCUCUUCAACCUGGGCAGGAAGCAUUGACAACCUCUUAAGAGUAUCUUGAAUUAAAGAGGGUGCUGGAUUGUUAUGUGAUGCAGUAGAAAUGAUCCGCUGCGCUCCGGUAUACAGCUGUUCGAUUAAUGUGUAGGCGACCUUCAAUUUCAUACGAACAUCUAACCCCAAGUGACCAAUGCGGGUGCCUGCAACAUGAUAGAAAGUUCACAAACCGGACCUAUCAUAGGAAGGCCAAAUUAUUACAGAAGUCAAAGGACGCUUACCAAAGAUGGCGGCAGUCAUUGCAUGCACUUGCCGCUUUACGCCGGUCAGUUUAUCUACUACCGGUUUAAGGGCGGCUUUAGCAGUUUCAAUUUUCUUGGUCAAAGCGGCCUUCUCAGUGGCCCAAUCCGUCCGCCCUUUCUUGAAGCCCUCCUUCAGUUGUUCCAUGACGCUUAAAGCGCUGGUCAACUCCUCUUUUGCCUUUGAGGUUUCAGCUUGUUGGGAUUUCAAGUUAUCUUGAAGAUCAGCGAGUUGGUUUUCUUUGGUCUUCAGCUGAGCCUGCAUACAGGCAGUCAUAUGACUUAACAAACGGUACAAGAAUUGAAGUACCAACCACAUAACAAGUUAUGCACUUGGCACUUGGGGGCUAAUGCACAUUUGAUCUUCAUCUGUCAAUUGAUUACAAAGUCCCAAGCUCAAUACAAGUAUUCAACUUGGCACUUGGGGGCUAAUGGCUAUUUGCUCAAAUAAGUUCUAAUGCUGUAAUAUUACUUACUUAAAGUCCCGGUUUAACUAUGCUAAGUUGAACCGGCACUUGGGGGCCACAGUAGCAAGUUCUGAAGUGUUCAGCUUUAUAUUUCACAAGUCCCGGUUUGAAAGAAGAUUACAAACCGGCCCUUGGGGGCUAGGAGAAUCAGCAAGAUUAAAAUAUCCAAGCAGGAAGAGGCAUAUGGAAGUUACCUCAAAUUUCUCUUUCAUCAUAUUCACUAGGCCAGCUUCAUAAUCACGACUAGUAUACAACCGGUUUAGGUAGCCAGAAUGAAGAUCUUGGGCAUUCAGAGCAGCAUAAGUCGCCAAAUCGACAUUCCACUUGCCCUUGCCCAUUGCGGUAAAUUUGUCCUUGGCAGUAUGAUUGGACAAAGCGACAGGAUUGCUUGGUUCGGUAUGGCCAACACCAGUGAUAAUAACUUCAUCAUCCUGCGCGUCACCGGUUUGCACUGGGGCUGUCAGUUUACCGGUAGUCUUGGAUCGGCUGGUGCAUUUCUCAAUCCGGAUGGGGCUUCUAGGCUGGUCGGCAGGACCGGAGGCGUCAACAGGCCUUUCUUCAGCAAUAAAAACCUCAUCUUGCACUGGCGGGUCGUUGGGCACGUCUUCACGGAUAGUCGCUUCAAGAUCUGGGGUGUUGUUCGGUUCAGGGCGAGUUUCUUCUUCGGCCGCUUUAUCCAGGCGAGCCUUCUUGCUCGGCCUAGGCUUGGCCCUGAAAGGAGUAACAAAGUCAAAAACAGUGUAUGUUACAAAGUACCGUACCAGAAAUAUUAUGAUAAGUAUAAGCUUACCCAAGCACGGUUUUGAGCGGUGGCAGCUGAGUAGCCGAUGACUCGCCAGAGGAUGAGUGGGAAGUAACCUGAUAAUCGGAGUUAGAUGGAUUAAGGGGUUGACAAAAACAGCCCGCUUUAGGACAAGUACUGACAAGCAAAUUAGAGACCUCUGGAAGGCGUUUCCAAACCGGACUGUUCGGUAAACCGGCGAAGGUAACUGCCGGGCCGCUGUGCCGAGUUGUGCGGCAAGCUUUGAGCUGUUGGGUCUUCAUAAGAAAUUUGGGGUCCAAGUAAGCAAGAGGAUGAGAAAAUUUAACUUUCUGGUUUGCCUGACGGAUUUUUAGUGAAGGCAAAGGAUUCGAAUCAGAAGAGAGAGUAAUUACCUCUGCAGCAUCAACAUGACUAGCUUCAGCGUUAUCCUGACAAAUAUUAUCAUCAAUAAGGCGUGUGAAAAGUAAGCCAAGUGAAUCAAGUUCUACCUGAAGGUCCGGAUUACCCACAUCUUCAUCAGCGGGCGGAUCAGAGGAUGCAGUGGUUUUCCUCUUAUGAGCAGGCUUCUUAAUGACUUUGGUUUUUGGCCGGGUUGGUCUUUCCGGUUUGUCUGCUUUCUCCUGCGGAAGCUUCUUGCUCCAAAACGGAUCAUCGCCCUGUUUCAACAGAUAUUGGUGUCAAAUAAUAGGCAUAUAUAACAAUGUCAGGGUCAAUGAAAGGUGAAGUUAAAAACUUACAGCUGGCGGUUUGUUGGUGGCGCAGAAAGGAAGCAGGCCGGUUCGGGCACAGAUGUAUUCCGGUUCAUUCAAAAUUUUCUUCACAGCUUCUGUGACUUCUUCGUCGGUGAGCUGGAUGUUCAUGUGUCGCAGUGGGUCGUCAACACUGCCCGUAUAUUCGCACAUCAAACUGGAGCAUUGACUAAGGGGCAGUAUGCUCCAUGAUAUCCAACAACGAGCGAGAUCAUCUCCUGUUAAACCGUUGGCCAUAAAGGCUCUGAGCUUGGACAGUUGAGGAGCGUAUUUACUCCUCUCCUUGCCAGUCAACCUUUGUGGAAAGGGGUGCGUAUUGCUACGCCGCUCCGGACGAAAGCCAGGCAAGGGAUUUUCAUUAGCAGGGGAGGUGUCUUUGCAAUAGAACCAUGAUUGAUUCCAUUCUUGGGGAUGGCUGUGCAGUUUUGCGUGAGGGUAAGUGACCUCUUUCCUUUUCUGAAUCGCCAUACCACCCAAUAUCAUAUUGGAACCAUCAGUAAAUUCUGUGUGGCGGUUUAGAUGAAAAAAAUCUCUGAAUAACUCCACUGUGGGUUCCUCUUGAAAGAACACCUCACAGAGUACUUGGAAAUGCCAUAUGUUGGUGACAGAAUUGGGGCCAGUAUCUUGCGGACGGAGUUGGAAAUUGGCCAAGACAUCCCGGUAGAAUUUUGAACCGGGCGGAUUAAAACCUCGGGCUAAGUGGUCUGCGAAAAUGACAACCUCUCCUUCUUGAGGUGUGGGAGGACAUUCUUUUCCCGGGACCCUCCAAUGGAUGGUGUUUUUGCUGCUUAAAGCGCCAGUUAGGACUAGGUUGUUCAUUUGAGUUUCUGUGACGUGAGAAGGAGCCCAGUUGCACUCAUAUACCUGUUUGGCCAUGGUGGAGUCUACAAAAUAAGUGAUUCCGGUUCAAAAUUGUGUUGGGUAAAAGUAUACACCGGUAUGAACAAUGUUAAACCGGAGGUAACUGCAUCCAAACCGGAGUUCUGUGAAGCAGUGUCAUAUGGCUAAAGGGUUCUGGCGGUUCAACAAGGGGACUAAUGGUAUAUACCGGUUUAUUAACUUUUUCUAUAUUAAGUUAAACCGCCUGAUCUAAACAUGGAAAGCAAUUGAGGUUGCGGAUGGCUAAGUAUGCAGAAACAUGUUUCACAAGGUUUUAUUACAGUAAUGGAUCUGAGGCAAGUUCAGAAAAACAGAAAAAUAUUCAAAGGCUUAAAGUAGAGCGGAAGUGAAUCAAUGGGCAGAUAUACAGAUGAGAUCUAUGGACUUGAACAUGAAACUACAGGUGGAUGCGAAAAGCUACUGUUAUUCGGACACUAGUAGAAAAAGGGUCAAACGUGAAGCACAUUAGUGCCGGUUUGUAUUUGAGCCGGUACUAAUGUAUACAUUUAGUGCCGGUUCCAACGGCUAGCCGGGCCGCUUUCAUUAGUACCGGUUCGUGGCGAACCUUUAGCACCGGUUUGUGCCACGAACCGGUACUAAUGAGAGUGGUGGCAGGAUGUUGUCAGUAUGGGCCCCCUCCAGCACCUUUAGUACCGGUUCUUGGCAUGAACCGGUACUAAAGGUCGUCCUACAUAAACCCUUCGUCCACCCGAGCUCGCUCUGUUCUUCCCCUUUCCCCUCUCCUCUCUGUUCUUCCCCUCUUCCAAUCAAGCUCAUCACACAUUUUGCCCAAAUUUUGUCAAGAUUUGAAGGCCCCCAUCCAUUGAAAUGAUCACAAAGGUUAGCAACUUUGUCCUUUCAUCUCUCAUUGCUAGAUUUACUCUUGCAAUGCUUUAUAUAUUGAUUAAUUUGUGAGUUUAGUAAUUUGGGAGGAAAUAUAUAUAUGUGCUAGUAUUUGAUUUAUAUGCAAUUUGAGGUCAAAAAUAACACUUAGUUUGCAUAUGUAGGUGUGGUUUACUUAGUGCCUUCUAAAUCUCCGUCGUAACCACCGUUGAUCGCCGGCACCGUCCCGUCGCCGGCACCACCUUGUGGUGAGCCUCUUUGUUCAUGAAAUUUUAUAUAAAAAUUGGUGUUUGUGUGAUUUGGAUAUAUAGCUAGUUACUCGUAUAAUUAUCUUACCCGUACGUUGUUUGUUAUACAUAUAGUGCCAUGGUUUUGAUAUCCGUCCCCGUCGGCCCUCGUCCUUGUUAUGAUUCGGAUGUGGUAUAUAUAUUCUCUUUUAAAACUAGUUGCAUUUCGUGUUUAUGACAAAUUAUUCCCAUCAAGUUGACAUAGAAAUUUUUUCUAGGAGGUAUGUGAACCGGAAAUUCCAACCGACCCUAUUGUCGAGAGGUUAAAUUUAGUUGAAAGAGAAAACGAGUACUUGAAAGAAAAAUUGAAAAGAAUUGAGGGGGAGAAGAUGGAAUUGGAGUUGCAUGUUGCCGAUGUCGUCGAUGAUCACAAGAUCAAGAUGGAGAAAAUGCGCUUGAAUAUUAGAAAGAUUAGAAAAUAUGCCAUCGAUAGUGAGGCUUGGUAUCAUUAUGCUGUUGGAUCCAUUGUUACCUUAGUUGCGAUCUUGAUCGCAUUUGUUGUUGCAUUUAAAUGCUUUAGCUAGGGAGCUAUUUGUUUGUUGCAUUUAAGUGUUGUAUGAACUUUAUGUAUGAACUUGUAUUAAUUUGGUCUAUUCGAUGUUGUGUAAUGAAGAUGAGCCGGCAAUGGAUGUACGAUGACCGAUGCUCUCCCUAGUUCGUUGAGGGCGUGCAUACUUUUCUGAUUGCAGCUGAGGCAAACAAGUGGGCGGAUGGUUUUAUGCCUUGUCCAUGUGCUGGCUGUAAGAAUGGUCACAAUUACUCUACGUCAAGAACCAUUCACGUCCACCUGCUUGAGUCCGGUUUCAUGCAUCACUAUAAUGUUUGGACCAAGCACGGAGAAAGAGGGGUUAUGAUGGAAGACAAUGAAGAAGAAGAGGACGACGACAGCUAUCCUCGCCAUGGGUUCCCUGAAUACGAUGAUACAACAAUGGGGGAAGAAGCUGAGCCGGUAAUGCGGGAAGAAGCUGAGCCGGCAAUGCGGGAAGAAGCUGAAGAAGAGACAUCAGAUGAGCCCGUUGAUGAUCUAGGUCGGGCCAUUGCCGAUGCAAAGAGAAACUGCGCAAGUGAUUUGGAGAAGAAGAAGUUGCAGCGCAUGUUAGAGGAUCACAAAAAAUUGUUGUACCCGAAUUGCGUAGGUGACAAGAAAAAGCUGGGCACCACACUGGAAUUGCUGCAAUGGAAGGCAGAGAAUGGUGUAUCUGACAAGGGAUUUGGAAAGUUGCUGGUAAUGAUAAAGGAUAUGCUUCCAAAGGACAACGAAUUGCCCGAGAGUACGUACGAAGCAAAGAAGGUUGUCUGCCUCUAGGGUUAGAGGUGCAGAAGAUACAUGCAUGCCCUAAUGAUUGCAUCCUCUACCGUGGUGAGUACGAGGAUUUGAACGCUUGCCCGGUAUGUGGUGCAUUGCGCUAUAAGAUCAGCCACGAUGACCCUGGUGAUGUCGAGGGCCGGCGCCCCAGGAAGAAGAUUCCUGCCAAGGUGAUGUGGUAUGCUCCUAUAAUACCACGGUUGAAACGUUUGUUCCAAAACAAAGAGCAUGCCAAGGCGAUGCGAUGGCACAGAGAAGACCGUAAGAAAGAUGGAAAGUUGAGAGUACUCGCUGACGGGUCGCAGUGGAGAAAAAUCAAAAGAAAGUACGGGAAGGAGUUUGCAGAUGACGCAAGGAGCGUAUGGUUUGGUCUAAGCGCAGAUGGCAUUAAUCCUUUUGGGGAGCAGAGCAGCAACCAUAGCACCUGGCCUGUGACUCUAUGUUUGUAUAACCUUCCUCCUUGGUUGUGCAUGAAGCGGAAGUUCAUUAUGAUGCCAGUGCUCGUCCAAGGCCCUAAGCAACCCGGCAACGACAUUGAUGUGUACCUAAGGCCAUUAGUUGAAGAACUCUUACAACUGUGGAAUGGAACAGGUGUACGUGCGUGGGAUGAGCACAUGGGGGAAGAAUUUGACCUAAAGGCGUUGCUGUUCGUGACCAUCAAUGAUUGGCCUGCUCUCAGUAACCUUUUAGGACAGACAAACAAGGGAUACCGCGCAUGCACGCACUGUUUGGAUGGUACCGACAGUAUAUAUUUGGCUAAUAAGAAUGUGUACCUGGGACAUCGUCAAUUUCUUCCGAGCAGGCAUCCCGUAAGAAAGAAAGGCAAGCAUUUCAAAGGUGAGGCGGACCACCGGACGAAGCCUCGCCACCGUACUGGUGCUGAUGUACAUGAUAUGGUCAAGGAUUUGAAGGUGGUCUUUGGAAAGGGUCCCGGUGGACAACCUGUUCCGAAUGACGCUGACGGACGCGCACCCAUGUGGAAGAAGAAAUCUAUAUUUUGGGACCUGCCCUAUUGGUCUGCUCCGCAAUCGACGUGAUCCACGUGACGAAGAAUCUUUGUGUGACCCUGCUUGGCUUCUUGGGCGUGUAUGGGAAGACAAAAUAUACACCUGAGGCACGGGAGGACCAGCAACAUAUGCACGGAAAAGACGGCAUACAUCAGGGUCAUGCAAGCUACGCUCUUACCAAAGAAGAGAAGGAAAUCUUCUUUGAAUGCCUGCUCAGUAUUAAGGUACCGUCUGGCUUCUCAUCGAAUAUAAAGGGAAUAAUAAACAUGGCAGAGAAAAAGUUCCAGAACCUAAAUUCUCAUGACUGCCACGUGAUUGUGACGCAACUACUUCCGGUUGCAUUGAAGGGGCUUCUACCGGAAAACGUUCGAUUAGCCAUUGUGAAGCUAUGUGCAUUUCUCAAUGCAAUCUCUCAGAAGGUAAUCGAUCCAGAAAUCAUACCAAGGUUACAGAAUGAUUGGGUGCAAUGUCUUGUCAGUUUUGAGUUGGUGUUCCCACCAUCCUUCUUCAACAUCAUGACACACGUCCUAGUUCACCUAUGCGAAGAGAUUAACGUUUUGGGUCCUGUAUUUCUACACAAUAUGUUCCCCUUUGAGAGGUUCAUGGGAGUCUUAAAGAAAUAUGUUCAUAACCGUGCUAGGCCAGAAGGAAGCAUCUCCAAGGGCCGUCAAAAUGAGGAGGUCAUUGAGUUUGGUAUUGACUUUAUUCCUGACCUUAAGCCGAUUGGUGUUCCUGAAUCGCGGCAUAAGGACAGACUGGAUGGAAAAGGCACGCUAGGAGGGGAACAAAUAAUAUGUAUGGACGGACAUUCUCUCACUGAAGCACACUACACAGUUCUACAGAAUUCCGCCUUGGUGGCUCCGUAUAUGGAUGAACACAAGAAUUUGCUACGCUCCAAACAGCCGGAGCGGUCUGAUGACUGGAUUACACGUGAACAAACCAGGAGUUUCGCCAGCUGGUUGCAGACACGUACCAUGCAUGACACCUCUAUUGAAGAUGACCUGUACUUGUUGUCCCAGUUACCAUCUUCGAAUAUAAUGACUUUCAAAGGGUACGAGAUAAAUGGUAAUACAUUUUACACGAUCGCCCAAGAUAAAAAGAGCACCAACCAAAACAGUGGUGUCCGCUUUGAUGCAGAAACGAAGACGGGAAAGCAAACAUAUUAUGGUUAUAUACAGGACAUAUGGGAACUUGACUAUCGACGUGGUUUGAAGGUCCCUUUGUUUCGGUGCAGAUGGGUCAAUAUGACACGAGGUGGGGUAACGGAAGACGCGCAGUACGGAAUGACAACAGUGGAUCUCAACAAUCUUGCGUAUGCAGACGAACCAUUCGUCCUAGCCAAUGAUGUGGCACAGGUUUUCUAUGUGAAGGACAUGUCUACCAAGCCAAGAAAAAGAAAAGAUAAGGAAGCGAAUGCAUCGUAUGAUGAGCCAAAGCGGCACAUAGUUCUUUCUGGGAAGAGAAACAUCAUGGGAGCGGAUGACAAGACAGACAAGUCAGAAGAUUAUGAAAAGUUUGAUGAAAUUGCUCCAUUCACAGUGAAUAUUGACCCGAGCUUCCCGUUAAAUGAUGAAUAUUUUCCAUGGCUAUGACGCAAAUGGACACACGCAAAGAAAUAGUUUCACACCCAAAGAUCUGGGAUGUGAUCGGCUUCACUAUCAUCACUUUCUUUUGUGUUUCACACCCAGGAGGGAAUCUCUGUAAUAGUUAGGGUAGCUAGUUAUGUGUUUUGGCAUUUGAAACGCGAAGAAAUUUUAUGUGCAAGCAAAUUUCUUUCAUGCAUUUACUGAUUCUUUCAGCUAACUGACCCUGAAAUUGAAAAGCAUUUCAAAUGAACUCAGAAAAGGUUGAAAGUUGGCAUGGUAUCAUAAUUUCACCCACAUAGCAUGUGCAAAAAAGUAGAGAGGGUUACCGCAAAAACUGGAUGCACUUCGUGUACAAAAUGGACAAUCUGUUUCGAAUUAUCAGGGUUUCGGACGAAAACUCAUCUGUUACAAAGGCAUUUCAUUUUUUAAAUAACCUAAGCAUUAACAAAUUGAAUAUAAUGAUAAAACACACUAAUAUUAAGCAUAAGAAAAAAGAAUCACUGAAAAAUCUAUUUUCAAAGUUAAGUUAUUCACAAAAAUAAAUAAAGCAAAAAAAUAAGAAAAAAAGCCCACCUACUGGCCCACAGCGGCCUGCAUACGACUAUAAACCCAAAUUCAAGUUGGGCCAGGAUGCAGGCCCGCUAGCCCAGUAGGCCCAACAGGGCAUCGCAAAAGAGGUAGGCCCAGAAGGCCUGCUUAAGAGAGGAGCUCGAGACAGCAGCGACGGCGGGGCUUAUAAGCAGGUGCGAGUGCCCCUCGGCUAGCAAGGUGGGACUAAACUUGUGUGCCCCUCGCCUGGUAGCGCACACCCUUUAGUACCGGGUCGUGGCACCAACCGGUACUAAAGGGGGGGCCUUUAGUACCGGUUGGAGCCACCAACCGGUACUAAAGGGGGUCGCUUCCCGCUGCUUGGGCUAGCCAAAAAAGACCUUUAGUACCGGUUGGUGGCUCCAACCGGUACUAAAGGUGGGUUCUAUAUAAGAAAACACUUCAAAAUUUCGUGAGUUUCUCAUCUCUCCCUCUGCUUCUUCUCCUCUGCACCGUCGCCCGCCGCCCCCGCUGUCUCCNNNNNNNNNNNNNNNNNNNNNNNNNNNNNNNNNNNNNNNNNNNNNNNNNNNNNNNNNNNNNNNNNNNNNNNNNNNNNNNNNNNNNNNNNNNNNNNNNNNNNNNNNNNNNNNNNNNNNNNNNNNNNNNNNNNNNNNNNNNNNNNNNNNNNNNNNNNNNNNNNNNNNNNNNNNNNNNNNNNNNNNNNNNNNNNNNNNNNNNNNNNNNNNNNNNNNNNNNNNNNNNNNNNNNNNNNNNNNNNNNNNNNNNNNNNNNNNNNNNNNNNNNNNNNNNNNNNNNNNNNNNNNNNNNNNNNNNNNNNNNNNNNNNNNNNNNNNNNNNNNNNNNNNNNNNNNNNNNNNNNNNNNNNNNNNNNNNNNNNNNNNNNNNNNCCGUCGCCUCUCGCCUCGCCGGCCGGUGAGCGCGCGCACACACACACACAUACAUUUUAAGUUAUAGAUUUUUCUGUUUUUUAGAAAUUGUUAGACAUUUUCUGUUUUUUAGAAAUAGUUAGAAAUGGUAGAAUUAUUAGAAUAGUUAGAAAUGUUAGAAUUGUUAGAACUGUUAGAAUUGUUAGAAAUUUUUUCUGUUUUUAGUUAUGGAAAUAGUUAUAAAAAUGAUAGAAUUGUUAGAAAUUUUUCUGUUUUUUAGUUAUAGAAAUAGUUAUAAAAAAGUUAGAAUUGUUAGAAAUUUUUCUGUUUUUUAGUUAUAGAAAUAUUAGAAAUGUUAUAGAAAUGUUAGUUAUAUAUAGCAUUGUUAGAAAUGUUAUAGAAAUGUUAGAAAUUUUAGUUAUCAAAAUCCAAUCAUUAAAAAAAUGUUACUUUUUGCGGGCAUAUAGCUAGUAUUUGUUGUCGACGAUGCCCGGCCCGCAUCCUCGCCGUUGACACGUCCGGGACGACGUCCAGCUGACCCAUGUCCGGGACUGGGCUCCGCCGGGCUGGCACUGGAAGGUGCUGCCUGGAGGGGCGCGCCGCUUGAUGAGGAACCCGGCCCCAGGUCCUGUCGUCGACCCUGAUCUCGUUUGGUGGCGUUCGCGUGGGCCAGUUUCGGUGCGGAGGGAACCGGCCCCGCCGGAGGUGGUACGUCAUCGUGUCAGGGAGGAGGACGAGCACAUCCAUCACUACAUGGUUGCGUUAGAGGGCGGCAGGUUCUCCAAUACCUGGCAGUUUCUUCAGGGAUCUCACUUCAGCUAUGAUCCUGUGAGGGUUCCUUCUCUUUGGGUGUCCACCGCCCGCGCCGCAGGAACCGCGAGUGUCCUAGAUUCUUCUGUAGUAUUCGAUCUUUAAUUAGCUACCUAGCCAGUGAUGUACUAUUCAAUAUUAUAUAUUAUUCGAGACGAUGUAUUCGAGAUUAAAUCUAUUAUUCGAGACGAUGUAUUCAAGAUUAUAUCUAUUAUUCGAGACGAUGUAUUCGAGAUUAUAUCUAUUAUUCGAGAUUAUACUAAAUUGUUUUAUAUUUCUUUUGGCAUAGUUAAAUAAAAGCUAUGGCGGACAAUACCGACAGAGAGAGAGAACAGACCAUGUUCGAUAUGAUACGCGGGCCAGAUGAUGAUCAGAAUGAAGAAGAUUAUGACGGCUCCGAAUUUCUAAACAACACCGGAGAGGGUGAUAUGAUAUUCGAUCGCGACUAUCGAAUUGAUGAAGUCAUGAACUACGAUCCUGAAACAACAAACACCGGCGAGGUAUAUAUAUUUAUAUAAGCAAGAAUCUGGUGAUCGUCACAUGUUUUAAAUGAGUUGAAGAUAUAUUAACGAAUCGAUCUUUCUUCUUUCAGCCAUCCGGAUCGAGCAAAUCUUUAGGCAAAAGGACGAAACGAGGCCCGAACAAAAAGUUGAAGGAGGACGUAAAGUACAAUAUUGAGGCAUUCAAACCUGAUGGCGAACCAUUAGCGCCUAAGAAGAUUGCGGACAAGUUCGUUCGUCAGUGCGGAGUUCUUGUGAAGGACCAACUCCCGAUCUGCCUUCAAGAAUGGAGAAAGCCAGCAAAGCCACGUCCAAAUGUUACUUUUGUCGACGAGAAUAAAAAAACUGCUUUGGGAUACUCUCAUGGAACAUUUCACCCUACCAGAUCAUUUCACGGAAGCAGAUGUGCAGAAAGUCAAGGACGCUGCUUUUAGGAAGAUGGCGGUUGCAUUCAAGAACCACAAGAGAUGUGAAUGGGAGAAGUACGUCAAGGGAGGAAGGAAGACUCCAGUAUUCGAGGGGAUACUAGAGAACCAAAGUGCUUCUUGGGACGAUUUCAUGAAAUUCAAUGAUUUAGAAUUAGCUAAGGAACGGUCGAGAAUAAACAAGAAGAAUGCCGAAAAAAGGAUAAGUUCCAUAAGCUGGCACUACAAGAAAUAUGUCAACUUGUGACCACCACUAUUGGUCACUGAAUGGUCACAAAUUUCCAUUUGUGACCUUUUUGUGACCAAAAACAUAAGGUCAAAAGCUGGCCGUCGUAAACUGACUAUAGCGACCUUUCUUCUGGAAUGGUCGCAAACGUUUAUGACCAAAAUAUGUCCACUGUGGCGUUUUGGUCACUAGCAACCUCCGCAGGCCACGUAGGCAUCCAGCGUGGCAAGCUGAUGUGGCACAAGAUUCAGCCCGGUCCAAUUCAGCGUUUUACAUGGGCCUAGCCCAUUAAUUCAACCUUUUAUUAUAUUUUCGUUGUUAAUUCUGGUCGGCUUCAUGGGCCAAGCCCAACGUUGUAGCCUUUUUUAUUGUUGGCCCAUGGCCUUUUAUUAUUUAUUGCUUUUCUAUUUUUAGCCAUUAUAUAUUCAAGCUGGUCCCACUAGUCAGAUGGGUCCCACUUGUCAUGAUCAUCUCUCAAAUUGGUCUCACAUGUCAGAAAUGUACAAAAUUGACAGAUUAUUUUCAUAAGUGGACCCAUUGGUCAAGUUUCCACUAAAUAAAUCUAUUACAAUCUUUACAACACAUAUAUGCUACAAUAUGCUACUCUUCACUAAGUAGAACUUGACGGCUUCACACUUCACGGCUUCACACUUGAGCAUCUGUAAAAGAGGAACAACCACAAAUUUAAAUCUCAAUUGCAGUAUAUGCAGAAGUAGUUCAAAGUUGAAACAACAUCAAUUAAACACACAUGCACAGAAACAUAGGAGUCAAAAUGCAGUAUAGGACCAGGACAAGGAAACUCCUGUUAUCAAAUCAACACACAACUUGUAGCAAAACAGCACAAAAACAUGUGGAUAUCUCAUGUGAGCAUCAUGCUGUGGUUUUAUUAUACAAUGAUAUAGCAACAGAAUACAAUAUCUUCAAUGCAAACCAGCAAGAGAAUUGCUCCUGCUAGCUGCUGUUGCUGCCACAAAACGCAUGACACAUUAGUUACAGUACAAUCUAUGGAUCAGAAGUAGCUGGUUACACUAAUCAUGAAAUAUCAGUGGGAAUCCGAACGAUUUUCUUCUUCACCCGGAGUCAUGCAGUUCAACCCAACAGAACACAAUGAGCAAUAAGGUUCAUAACCAAUGAAGGAAUGCAUGUACAGUCAGUCUAAAGCAGUAAAAAUGUGCAAAUGUACUUCAGGAGAUGGCGUGACCCGUCGAUUUUCUUCAUCACCCAGGUAAUGCACAUCUCAUCAGCCAGCAGAACACAAAAAAGAGGAUACGAAAAUUACUGCUAAGAGGUUUGCAAAAAAUCAAAGGAAAGUAUUUGCUCAAUAAUAAAGGAGUACUCCCUCUGUAAACUAAUAUAAGAGUGUUUAUAUCACUAGUUUAGUAUUCUAAACACUCUUAUAUUAGUUUACGGAGGGAGUACAUAUGUAUUCCAAGAGAUGGCAUGAUCCGUCAGAAGUAUCUGGUUGUAAUAAUCAUGAAAAUCAGUGGGAAUCCGAACAAUUUUCUUCAUCACCCAGAUCAUGCACAUCUCAGCCAGCAGAACAUCACAAGUAACAUAUGUAAAACAAUGAUUCUGAGCAUGAGCAAACAAUGAUUCUGAGCAUGAGCAAACAAUGAUUCUAAGCAUGAGCAAACAAUGAUUCUAUUAGAGUACCAGCAAAUCAGACUGAACUUUCAUGGAAUGAUUAGUAUAACUAGACCCAUUUUAGUGUAGCAUUACAUAAAAUACUAGUAGCAGUCGCACAAGCAACUAUUGAGCACUUAAGAAACAGGACAGGGAAACAACAUACCCUGAUGGUGCCCAGGCUGCAGCCUCAGAACCCUGCAAAACCACAAGCGACGUUAACAUCAAACACACAUAUAGACGCACCAUGUUAUGAAAUGGACAUAUAAGACGUUAACAUCAAAUUCACAGUUUAGAAAAUUAGUAUCUUCUUUGCAAAGGUGAAAUGAGAUGAGCGAACUUGAUUUGGCUUUUUAGCUUCCAUAAUUUCUACUUGCAGCAGAUGUUAUGAAAUAGACUUACUGAAUUAUCUGAAUCAAGGAAAGAAAUCUGCAACUAGCUUCAGACCAUCUAUUACACAGACUUAGAAAUCUAUUUCCAUCCAACUUCUUUUACUUUUCUACAAGACUACAAAAGUUUUAGACAACUCCAAAGUCCUAGAUUUGUUCACAGGUUAUUCAAUACAAGUAAAUUUGUUCACAGAUUAUCUACAAGAUUAGAACAGUUUCAGACACCUCACACUAACAGUUUCAGAUUUCAACAGAUUCAGACAACUGUUUUUCAGACUUGGAACAAUUUCAGUAAACUGUUCUUCAGACCACAACAGUUUCAGUAAACUAUAGCAAAGUCUGAAUGUCGUGGAAAACAAAUGAUGUCACUAACCAAGGGUCCCGAUCAGGAAGAUGGUGAUCUUGAGGGUCCCGCCAUAGCCACCGUCGGGCAGGUCGACGACGAGCGGGGUGAGUUGAGCUCGCUAAGCAGGUCAACUACUACUACAGAAAAUAUGCCCUCGCUAAGCUGAGAUCUCAAUCAACAGAGGCAAGAAGUCGACCAAACCAAACCAACCAGGGCGUUGUUCUUGACGCUGAGCAUGAGAAUGGAGAGGGGCCCCGUGCUGAACUCCUCCUCCUCCUUCUUCCCCUGCUGCCAACAAAACAAAGACAGAACCAAUGACCGUGUCAGUAAGCUGCUGUGGUGGAUGAGAACACCGUCGAGGGAGAAGAGGGGCGGAGGAAAGCAGUAGUGCUAAUCUAGUUUGAAGAACAAUGCCAGCAACUCAACAUGGCCUCGUACUUAUUGGUAGGCAAAGGAUGGUAAGCAAUGAUGCAGAGAAUGGCCAGGUAAUUAAGGGGCAACGUGAUUGUGCCCAGCAACAGUAGAUGGUGGUCUACUGUUUGUUUGACAGCAUUAUUAAUAGGUGUUUCGUGCUGUCUUCUCAGGCAACAACAGUCAGGUACAAGUACACCUAGCAGCAGAGCUGCCAAGGACGGAUGGACAAUGCAUAUCAUCUGUCAAGAAAGAUCUACCCACCUAACUGAAAAUUGGACAGAGUAUGUGACUAGAAUGAAAGGAGAAAAAAGGAAUUCUAGGUCCUUUUUCUGGAAACAAAAUAAUUUACCGGACGCAUGCAUACACGGGCCAGGGAAGAAAAUGAUGCAGUGAAUUAGUCUGACAGAUAGAGAGAAAGAACAGGGAAGGGGAUUGUACUACUCACCGGGACGUCCUCUUGGAAGACGCCGUAGCUGUGGGGCACCUCCAUGUCGAACUCCAUGCUGUUCCUCGGAGCAUCAAACCCUGCAAUUGAGCCCAAUGAGAAUCGGUUAAACUUGCUGCAACACACUAGACUUGGCUCGUUCUAAAAAACUCAGCGGAAGCUACUAAUCGAGCGAGAAGAGGGGCUCACCGGUGUGCCCUUGCUUGGCGGCGACGUGGAAGGCAUCGAGGUCGAGGCGGGAGCGGAGCUUUGCGGCCUCGAGGUCGUAGAGCGGGAGGAGGAGGCGCACGGCCUCGGCGUCCGCCGGGACGUAGAGCACGGACUCCUCGGCGCCGGCCAGGAGGCGGCGCACGGCCUCGGCGUCCGCGGAUCGGAGGGCCGCGAAGAGCGCCUGGUGGGAGAGCGGCGGGAGAUCCAUUGUCGGGCGGGCGGCCAACCGGAGAGCCGGCGUGGAGCUGACCAAACGGAACCGUAGCGCGUCGGCCGACCUGCUCGACUCGAUUUAGGGCAUAGGGUAGGGAAAGAUGGUGAGGGGAGGGAGGGACGAGGUCGGCGGCGGUGGUGAGGAGGGCUGCGAGGUCGGCGGUGGGUGGGAGCGGCGAGGAGAGAACUGGAUCAUUGAAAGGAGGCUGGGGAGAGGACUGGAUCGAGGGAGGAGGUGGCGGCACCUGCGAGGAGAGGAGGGGUGCGAUGGUGGGGAGUCGAUGGGAUCCAGAGCUCGGUCGCCAUNNNNNNNNNNNNNNNNNNNNNNNNNNNNNNNNNNNNNNNNNNNNNNNNNNNNNNNNNNNNNNNNNNNNNNNNNNNNNNNNNNNNNNNNNNNNNNNNNNNNNNNNNNNNNNNNNNNNNNNNNNNNNNNNNNNNNNNNNNNNNNNNNNNNNNNNNNNNNNNNNNNNNNNNNNNNNNNNNNNNNNNNNNNNNNNNNNNNNNNNNNNNNNNNNNNNNNNNNNNNNNNNNNNNNNNNNNNNNNNNNNNNNNNNNNNNNNNNNNNNNNNNNNNNNNNNNNNNNNNNNNNNNGUCGCCAUGGCUGCGCCGCGGGCUAGAGUUUUGGGUGCUUGGGAGGCAUGGGGAUUCGGGCUCCUCGCCGUCGACGGCCAUGGUGCGGGGGCGGCGGCUAGCGUUUGGCGAGCAGGUGCGGGUGCGGGAGAGUGGGGGCGUGGGGGCUAGGGUUGGAAUGGUGGGGAGCGGGGGCUGCGUGGGUGAGGGGGGUGAGAGGGCUACGUGGGUGAGAGGGUGAGGGGAUGAGGUCCACCGUUGGAUCCCGGAGCAUCCGACGGUGUCGGAUGCAUGAUCCGUGUGAUAUACCUAUAGACCAAUCAGAACGCAACAAACAAUUUGAAGACUUUAUGACCUUUUAAAUAGGUCAUGAAAAAAUCAUUUUCCAUUUUUUAGUGCUCAAAAUGAGUUCUUUUUUGUAAAAGACCUACCAAAUAUUUGUUCACAUGCUAUUCUUUAUAUUUGUUCAAAAUGAGUUCUUUAUACUCUGCAAAAGUUUACAUCUUGGAAUAGUAAACAAUAUCGACAAAGGGAUUUUUUAUAUUCUUUGCACAAAAAAUCAUUUUCCAUUUUUCGAGUGCCCCAAAUGAGGUUUUUUUGUGAAGGACCUACCAAAUAAUUGUUGCAAAAUUGGACCAAAUCAAUUUUAUAAAAUACUAGGACAUAUAUAAUGCAUAAUUGACAAAAUGGUUGGGUGAAAAAAGUUUUGAUCCACCUCUGGUGAAAAAGACAAAUUGUCGUCGAUUCAGGUGGAAGCGGGUCAAAUUUGAACUGUAGCUGCCUCAUAGUUUGCUCUUUAUUUUUUUUCAAAACUCAUUUCCACGUAAAUAAGUAUCUAUUUAAUCAUAGAAACACCAAAAAAAAUUCCAAGAUUCAACCACUAGCUAGGAACGGUCAUUCCCGCCGUUUUGACCGCAUUUUGAAACGGGCAUAAAAAAUUCAAAAAAAAUCAAAAAAUUAGGAAACCUUCGCAUUGUGUCAUUACAUGUGGCCAAGUUCCUAGGACAAAUAACAAACAUGUAAUACGGCAAUUAUUUUAAAAAAAGUGCUCUCAGAAACGAGCUAUCACGUGUGGAGAUCAAUGGCUUCCAAGCCAAAUGAUCAAUCUUAUGGCCACACUCAUGGCAUAGUUUGUUCAAAUGAUCUCAUAUUGUGCACAAGGGUGCAUAUUGGAAUGACAAACAAUAUUGCCUAAGGAAGUUUUCAUUUUCCUUGGACGGAAAAACCAUUUUCCAUUUUUCGAGUGCCCAAAAGUGGUUUUUUUGUGAAGGACCUCCCAAAUAAUUGUUGCAAAAUUGGACCAAAUCAUUUUUCUAAAAUAUUAGGCCAUAUUUAAUGCACAAUUGACAAAAUGGUAGGGUGCAAAAAGUUUUGAUCCUCCUCUCGUGAAAAAGACAAAUUUCCGUCGAUUCAGCAGGAAGCGGGUCAAAUUUGAACUACAGCUCCAUCAUAGUUUGCUAUUUAUUUUUUACAAAAAUCAUUUCUAGGUACAUAAGUACCUAUUUAAUCAGAGAAACACCAAUAAAAUUCCAAGAUUCAACCACUAGCUAGGAACGGUCAUUCCCGCCGUUUUGACCGCAUUUUGAAACGGGCAUAAAAAAUUCAAAAAAAUUCAAAAAAUUGGGAAACCUUCAAUAUUGUGUCAUUAUAUGUGGCGAAGUUCCCAGGAAAAAUAACAAACUUGUAAUACGGCAAUUAUUUUAAAAAAGUGUUCUCAGAAACGAGCUAUCACGUGUGGAGAUCAAUGGCUUUCAAGCCAAAUGAUCAAUCUUAUGGCCACAUUCAUGGCAUAGUUUGUUCAAAUGAUCUCAUAUUGUGCACAAGGUUGCAUAUUGGAAUGGUAAACAAUGUUGCCUACGGAAGUUUUCAUUUUCUUUGGACGAAAAAACCAUUUUCCAUUUUUCGAGUGCCCAAAAGGAUGUUUUUUUAUGAAGGACCUCCCAAAUAAUUGUUGCAAAAUUGGACCAAAUCAUUUUUUUAAAAUACUAGGCCAUAUUUAAUUCACAAUUAACAAAAUGGUUGGGUGUAAAAAGUUUUGAUCCACCUCUCGUGAAAAAGACAAAUUUCUGCCGAUUCAGUAGGAAAAGGAUCAAUUUGAACUGCAGUUGUCUCAUAGUUUGCUAUUUAUUUUUUCCAAAAAUCAUUUCUAGGUACAUAAGUACCUAUUUAAUCAUAAAUACAUGGUUUGGUGGCGGUACGUUGAGGUUUGGGCGACGGCCGAGGGCCCCAACUCUAGAGCGCGUAAACUCGCAUGCCCGUUGCGUGGUCACCGCGUGACCCUGGCAUUGCCAUGUGUUCUGGGCGACAUAGGCAUGUCUAGUGGGUUGGGCACUCCCCAGGUAGGUGCUAGGAAGAAAAUUAUAACAUAAGAUUCUCAUGAGGAGACCGAUGGAUACUCAAACAUGAAUAAGCAGCCAAGUGUUUGAUUAGCGGUACGGGAAAUGCACAUGGCCAAUGGGCGUGAGUUUUGGCCGAGGAUGAUCAUCUACUAAGGAGAAUGUAUUCACAAAUUUUCAGCUCAAAAGGAGGAUCCUAGGUGGUACUUGCUUUGCAAAGUACCACACUGGACAAAAAUAUGAAUGUUGAAGCUGGGCUCAAAAUAAUGAAUGGAUUGAGCUGAAAUUUGGUGGAGGAUGGUUAUUUCGACAUGCCAAAGUAGUACUUCCUUCACAAUGCUCUUCUAUGGACAAAAACUUGGGAAAACUAGUGAGAGAGAUUGGAUGAAUGAAAUGAGCUAGAAAUUGGUGUAGGUAAGUUACAUAGGUCAUGCGCUAGUAAAUUUCCAGAUCAUUUGGGUAAGCCUAGCUAGUACUUACUUCACAAAGCUUCUCUCGAGGUAGAAACUUUGGAAAUUUCCUGAGAAAGAUUUACUAGGAAAAUUGAGCUGAAUAUUAUCAUGUGGCAAUGAUUUGGGUAUGGAAGAGUUCCCGAAAAGUUUGAGGGUAAUAGGAGGGGUCUAUAUAACACUUGCUUUGCAACGUGCCAAUUUGGCCAUAAAAUAUAAAUUGAAUCUGGGCUCACAUAGAUGAUUUGACUGAGCUGCAACUUGGAGGAGGGUGAUAAUUUGGGCAUAUGAAGGAACUGUAUAAAUUUCAUGUCAUUUAGAGAUAUAAAAAAGGUACUUCCUUCACAAUGCUUCUAGGUGGACAAAAACUUUGGAAAUUUGCCUAGGAAGAUUUAAUAGGGAAAUGGAGCUGAAUUUUGUCAUGCGGUAAUGAUUUGGAUAGGAAAGAGUGCCCAAAAAUUCCGAGUGCAAUCAAGAAUAUAUAAAUAGCACUUCCUUCAUAAAAGUGUUGUUGUGAACAGAAUUGGAAAAUGAAUAUUGUUGAAUUAGUUUUGAACUAGGCAAGGAAGGAUAUUUACAUAUUUGAUGAAGAUAUGCCCCAAAGAAUUUAUGAGAUUUUUUGGGAAUUUUGGGAAUUAUAGAAAUAUAGGUUGCUUCACAACCUAGGGCAAAAACUGCCACAUGGACAUGACACAUAGGCAAAACUGGUGAGAUGGCGCCUAGUCAUCACAACCCACCACAAUCUACAAGGCUAUGACCAUCUAUAUUGGUCACUAACAACUAGAAAUAAGGUAGCGGACUAGCACUGUUUGCUUUGUGACCAUUUUGUGUAAGGAAAUUACGACCUUUCUGACCAAAAUGGUCGCAAUGGUUUAGGGUUUGGAGCCCCCUGAACAGCUUUUGACCAAUUGGUCUAAAAUGGUCAUAAAUUUGUGACCAAUUCUUCGAGGGUCACUGACAGAAGGUCAUAAGUUGACAUAUUUCUUGUAGUGUGGGGCCAGGUGGCUACGCGGUGGCAAUGCCUAAGUGGGAUAAGUCUGAGAAAGAGAUAGAGGAUGCAGGUGUCACUCCAGUUACUAAGAGCUGGCCCCCCAGGUGCAGGACUUGGUUCUAUGCGCAUGUCGGGGAGUUGGACCCGAAGACAGGCAAUGUUUCGACGAAGGCAUGUCUGAACGGAGCCGACGAUGUGAUACUUGUUGCAAUAGAAGAGGCUCGAUCGGGGGUGUUCCAGGCCAACGGAGAGAAAGACGAGCUUACGCGUGCCCUGGGAAUUCCUAAACACCAGGGAAGAAAACGAGGCAAGGGCGCUAUUCCGUGGUAUGAGGGGUUUUUGGACUGGAACGCCGACUACAGAACACGUGCGAGAAAGAAGAUUGCGGAGGAGAAGAAGAGGAAGAUGGAGGAGGAGCAGAGGAAGAGGGACUAUGAACACCUUCAAGGUCUUGAAGCAAGUCAAGCGGAAAUGGCAGUUAAAUUCCAGCGGCAGCAGGAGCAGAUCGACUCACUUAGCCAGCAAAGGGGGUCUCAGCAGCUGCAGCAGCUAGUGGAUGAUCCAGCAUUGGAUAGCAUCGCCCCAUCCAUGCCGAGAAGCAGCGUGGGUUCUGCCCCGGGCGACGCAGUGCUGGAUAUAUACCCCGUGGAUGACAUCAUGGAGAACACUAACUGCGAGCUACACCUCAAAAUGAAGAACGACAUAUCCAUGAAGGUGGCGGACGCCAUUGCUUUUUCAAAUUCCCCCGAGGCAACCUUCCAUUGCAAGCCGAUUCCAGCGGGCUAUGCUCGUGUCUUGGUUGAUGAGGUGGUGGACCCAUAUUCGGAGCUACAACUUAGCAUUCCUGGAGGUGACGACGAGCACACCUUGGGAGAGGCCAUACAUCAUGUCAUCCUAUGGAGAAAGGAUUGCAUCAUCUUUCGAAGGCCACCGACACCGCGUCACCCGACUCCUCGUCGAAGUCCUCCACCGAGUCAGCAGACUCCCGCUCCUAGUCCACCAACGCGUGAGGCCACUCCUCCUCCUCCAAGUCCGGCAAAGUGUCAGGCCACUCCUCCUCCAAGUCCAACACAGCGCCAGACGUCCACUCCUCCUCCAUGUCCGGCAAAGUGUCAGGCCACUCCUCCUCCAACUCCGGCACAGCUUCAGGCCACUCCUCCUCGUCAAACUCAGCCCCGUCAGCCGUCUCCGCCGCCUCAGCAAUCGCAGAAGAGACAGCCCGCAGCUAUGGUGCGUAGCUGUACCAGUCGAGGUCAUAGUACAGGAAGUACAGGAGGAGGCAAGCGAUACAAAUAUGGUCCAAACCUCAGUACUCCUCUUCCUGAGAGGGCUUACGACAUGACCAAGGAGCAAACCAAUGCCAUAGUGCGGGCAGAAGUCGACGCCCAUUUUGGACCGAAACCGCCACCGCCGCCAAGGGAGAAAGUGCCUAUGGAAGUUAUUGACCACUUCAUUCGUAUGGCUGAACCACCAGCUCCUAAGCCUGUUGACACAGACUAUGAGCGCCACAUCAGGAAGUUACAUCGACAACCUCUACAGAAGGAGGCGAGCUCGAGCUCGAGCAAACAACAAGCAGCUGUCAAAAAAUGCGGGAGAAUCGUUGCCUAGCUGGGAGAAUAGUGGGCGCAACCGAUCCCCCCGCUUGUUGUGCCACCAACAACACGUGGCAGUACGCGCGGCCAAUAUUAUUGUGGGAAAACAGUUUACGUUCCCCAGGUGGGCGAUGUUGUAAUAACCUAGCAGCAUAUAACGUAGGCUGAAGAACACAAGAUCACUGUUGGACAACUCCUCGAGAUCGAGGACAUGCCUGUGCUUACAGAGGAGGAAAUAAAAUGGAAAUAUGUCCGGGGCCAACCUUUGGUCAAGCCAGAAGAUGUCAAGAAGCUCCCAACGAGAAUGUAUGAAUUGCAUCAAUGGUACAUGGACAUUACCAAGAGAUCCGAUCAACAGUCCCUCAUGGUGCAAGUCAACAAGGAUCAUUACUACCAUGAGAAACCUAGGACCAUUGAGUAUUCUGAACUGUUUCAGUUAUACAAUCAAGACGCACUCGACAAAUCUAUCGUCAGUUACUAUUGUCGGUAAGUGAUUUAUUUCUGUAAUUUAAGUCUCAAGCUAGCUGUAUUGAUCCUUUUGAUCAAUCAUUACCUGUAAUUAUCCUCACUAUAUUCUUUUCUGUGGUAUUAUGCAGGAUGACGAUGUAUCAAAUGAAAAAAGGUGGACGCUAUGGCAUUGGGUUCAUUGACCCAAACACCGUUAAUGAAUACACAUGGAAUAUAAGCAACUAUUAUAAAAAGCAGGUAGAGGACAGCAUGUUCGAGUUCUUGAAGCGCCUCAAAUACAAUGAAGAUAUACUACUUCCUUACAACUUCAAGUGAGUCACACUUUCUUGUACUACAAAUUCUCUGUUUUUGCCUACUAGCUAGCUAGCUACAUGUUUUUGCAUACAUAUGCCUGCUUAAUUAAGACAUGCAAACGUGUGUGCAUGCAGAUUUCACUGGAUCUUGUGUAUCCUUAAAGUUGACGAAGGAACAGUUGAAAUACUGGACUCACUACUCAAAGAAAAUAGAGACUAUAACGUCUUGUUUGGGAUAGUCAACAGGUAAUUUCAAUCAUUAUUAACUAUAUAUAUCGGCCUAUUUAGUUCGUCAUUUCAUGAUAUGAACUAUUUAAUAACCCCUUUAUUCAUUUUCUUUGUCGGCGGGCAGGGCUUGGGCAAGGUUCAUCAGCAAAACGGAAGGCGAAUGGAAACGACAGCUGAGAUGGUUUCGACCCAGGGUAAGUAAUGAAGUAGUGGUAGCUAGCUGCCAUCUUUUUAAUAUUAUCAUGCUUGAUUAAUUAUUAUCUGAUCAAAUUAAAUUCCAUUCUCGUCAAGGCCAUAAAGCAGGCGCAGGGGACUGAUCUGUGUGCAUACUGCGUUUGCGAGAACAUUCGCAUGAUGGCGUCCGAAAGGAGCAGAUCUCAAAGACAGGAAUGGGUACGCUUGUCAGAACACUAUUCACAAUUUGUGCACCAUUAUUGAUAUCUAGUCACACAACUAAUACACAUGCAUAUUGAUCUCCUUCUUAACAGUUCACAGAGGUGCGGGACAAGCUCCUAGAUACAGAGCGCGUACAAGCACUUCAAGAGGAAAUAGCGGGAUUUUUGCUUGACCAGGUCAUAAAUCCGAAGGGAGAAUACUAUUACCCGCUACCGCCCCCAUCGACCAGGUCAUGAACCACUUCCAAUUUGUCAUCGUGCUCCGAAGGCACCAAUUAGGCUAAUGCAACUGGCUCCGAAGGCAACAUGCAUAUGUACGAGAAAUUGUAUAUAGCUAUACAUGUGUGUAUCUGUGAAUUAAUAUGGUGGUUUGUGAGACAUUGAUGAUCUAUAUAUAUGAUUGGUUCUACUAGCUACCAUAUAUAUGCAUAACGUGUACAAUGUGUAGUUUCGUGAAAUACCAGCAAACGAAAAAGAAUUAAAAUGGAAAACACAAAAUUAAAUGAAAAAGAAAUCAUCAAACCAAAAACCCCCCAAACAUUUUAGUACUGGCUGGUGUUACCAACGGGUACUAAAGGGCUCCCGGCUCCCGGAGCUGGCUCGUGCCACGUGGUUGCCCUUUAGCACCGGUUCGUGCUGGACCGGUACUAAAGGGGGGGGCUUUAGUGCCCACACUUUAGUGCCGGUUAUGGAACCGGCACUAAAGGGCCUUACGAACGGGUGCUAUUGCCCGGUUCUGCACUAGUGAGAGAAGGGUUUCACAGAUCCAUCCAGGGGUUAACACAUGAAUAGGAAUAGUCGAUGAACACCGCAAGAACAAGAAACCCUAGAACAGAUCUAGGUUGAGAAGAACAGAGGACCUACCAGAGCUGAGGAGGAUGCCGGAGAUCGCCGCGGUUUUCUGGUAUGUUCAGGUUGAUGCAGCGGCCAAAGUUGGUGCUGAAGACGACGGCGGCGACGGAGCUCUGAAGCUGGCGACGCGAGGAAGAUGAAGAAGAGAAGGCAAGAAGAGAAGAAAGGAAAUGACCCUUCGGUCUUAUUUAUAAAGCAAAAGGACAUGUGUCAGGCGCGACAAACCAGGGGCCACCGAACGGAGCUGUCGCCUCGAUUUUCGCAGAUUUAUUAAGUGAAGAGAUAUCAUGAAUACUUUCUUUAUGACAGAUGACGUCACUCCGGUUUAACAGCAAUUGCAGAAGAUGACAUCACGGCGGUUCAACAAUUACAAGAAGAUGUUGAAGAUGAAGAUUUCUGCUAGGGAUUGACAUGAACUCGUUCAAAUCAAUCUGGGGCCUAAUGUUGGGGAUAUUACUACUGGGCGUAAACCGGCCUACCAGGGCCGGGUUAACUUCAUGAGUAGUCCAAGAAUGUUAAAGCCCAAGAAGAUAGAAGAGGGCCCAAGGCCCGUAGUUGGUUUAAGACCUGUAGCCGUAAACCGGCUUUAUAUGUAAACUUGUACUGUAAGUUAGGAAUAAGGAGAGACCAACCCGGAUACGAGUAUGAACCGGUGAUUGGGACACUGUGAACCGACGGGCGUCACCCAUGUAUAUAAGGGGAUGACCCGGCGGCGGUUCAAGGACAGACAACAACAACUCGAGACUUAGGCGAAGCUUGUUUGCUCCCUAGUCAUCGAAACCCCACCAAUUCCAUCACAACUAGACGUAGGCUUUUACCUUCAUCGACGGGGCCGAACUAGUAUAAACUCUCUGCGUCCCCGUGUCCACUUUAACCCCUUCAAGCUAACCCGUCGCGAUGGCUCCAUGACUAAGUCCUUUCACUAGGACAUCUGCCGUGGGAAAACCACGACAGUAAGCAUAUGAAUAAGCAAAGAAAUUCUUCAAGGACUUAUGAACAUAAUUAUUAGAAGAAUAAUGCUCAUAUUCAUAGCCCUUGGCUCUUCCCUGCGAAACAGAGUUGUUAGCACGAUGAUGUUCAUAUGAGGACUUUGAUCCUUUUGAGGAAUUUGAUCCAUGUGAGGAAUUUGGCCCGUAUGAGGACUUGGAUCCAUAUGAAGAAUUUGGUCCAUAUGAAGAUUUUGAUCUGGGGUUCCUUUUCUUCACAGGUGGUGUCAUGAGGACCUUCACCUGAAGACUUUCAAGGCACUUUUUGGGAACCCAGAUUUUCUUCAUAGGGGAACCGUUCCUGCAGUUAGUGCCAACAUAUCUAGCAAAUACUUCACCAUUCUGAUUUUUGAAAGUUUAUAGUUGGAGUCAAAUGACUGAUCAGAAGAAUGAGAAGAUUCACAUGUAUAGCCAGAUAAAUUAGAUGGGUCAACUAGAGGUCCCUUUGCAGCAACCCAUGAGGUUUUGGGGUACUUCUCAGGCUUCCAAUAUGUACCAUCAGCAUUGAGUUUCGUCUCAAAGGCAAUACCCUCUUUCCUAGGGUUCCUGUUGAGGAUCUGAUUUUUAAGCACAUCACAAAGAGUCUGAUGCCCUUUGAGGCUUUUGUACAUGCCUGUCUUGUACAAUUCCUUCAGCCCUGCAUCGUCAGUGAUACUAGCAAUGUCCUCAGAUGAGGAAUUAGUGAUAGCAGAUGCAGUGAAGAAUUUGUAACAUUAGAAGCAUUUGAACAUUCAGGUGAAGAAUUAGCAGAUUCUCGUUCAAUGCAUUUUAAACAUGGAGGAAUAAAUUCUUCCUGAGCAGCGCUGAUUUGUUGAGCAAGUAAUGAAUCGCGCUCCUUCUGAAGAUCUUCAUAACUCACUCUUAGCUUUUCAAGAUCUUGCUUUCUUUGAAGAAAUUCAUAAGAAAGCUUCUCAUGAUCAGACAAGAGAGUGUUAUGAUGACCUUGAAGGUUGUCAAACCUGGUCUGAAGUCUCUGAAGAUUUUCAGUCAAGGCUUUAGUGCGAUCCAUUUCUUCACCUAACAUAUCAUCACUUUUGUCUAGCAUGUUUUGAACCUUAACAAAAGCCUUUUGUUGUUUCACACCAAUCUUAGCAAGUUUAGAGUAGCUAGGCUUAAGAUUGUCAUCUGAUUCAUCUUCACUAGACCCAGAGGAGGUAUAUCUAGGUACCAUGGCACCAUUUGCCAUGAAGCAAUAGGUGCGAGCGUAGUCAUCGUUGCCUUCAUUAGCCUUGUUGGUGAGAUCAUUUUCCUCAGAGUUGAAGAUAGACUUGCUGAUGAAUGCGGUAGCGAGAGCUAGGCUUGCCACACCUGAUUGAGAGUCCUCAGAAGCCUCCUCUUCCUCUUGUUCCUCAGAUUCAGCUUCAGAGUCCAUUUCCUUGCCAAUGAAUGCCCGAGACUUCUUGGAGUUGCUCUUCUUGUGAGAUGAAGACUUUGAGGAUUUUGACGAUGAAGAUUUUGAAGACUUCUUCUUUUUCUUCGCAUCAUCAGAACUGUAAUCCUUGUAUUUCUUCUUCUUUGAUUCCUUUUCCCACUGAGGACAAUCUUGAAUGUAAUGUCCUAGUUUCUUGCACUUGUGACAAAGCCUCUUCUUGUAGUCACUGGAUGAGGAAUCAUUGCUCCUUGAGGGUUUUCCAAAAUCACCACGUCUUGAGAACUUCUGGAAUUUCUUCACAAGCAGUGCUAGAUCAUGACUCAGUUCUUCAGGAUCACCAAGGCUGCUACCAGAGUCUUCAUCUUCGGAUUCUGAUACUGCCUUGGCCUUCAGUGCACGUGAUCUGCCAUAGCUCGAACCAUAGAGAUCUCUCUUUUCAGCAAGCUGGAACUCAUGAGUGUUUAGCCUCUCAAGGAUAUCAGCGGGGUCAAGUGACUUGUAAUCAGCACUCUCUUGUAUCAUCAGUGCCAGAGUAUCAAAUGAGGAAACAAGCGAUCUGUCGCACCCUAGCUAGGUUAUGCAUUAGAGUGUGCAUCAUGUUUACUUUCAUCAGAAAUGGAAAUGGGGAAAGCAGAACCCCCAGCACCCCCCCUGAAAUCAACUAGGGUUUACUAAAAAUAAAUUCAAUGAACCUGAAAUGCCCCUCAAAUAUGUUCACCCACUUUGCCUUGGGUUAGAACCCUUGGGGAAAAUGGUGCAUAUAAUUUUAGGUCAACAAAAGGGGCAUUGAUUUAAUUCAUAAAUAUUUGAAUUUGGGCAUUUAAAUACUAUUAAAUAAUUCAAAUGCUCAAAUAAUGUUGGAAUUAUUUUUGGGCCACUGAAAUAUUUCAGAAAGUGUCCAUAAAUAUUUUCAGGAUUUUAUAAAAUGAUUUAGUAUUUAAACUAAAUCAAAACAGAAUAACAGAAAUAGAAAAUAAAA
rnacentral:lncRNA from 1 species